UUUAACCUAAAUAAUAUUUGUAAAAGAUUAUUAACCACUUAAUGAAUGAGACACAUCACAUACAAUAAUAUCUAGGACAAAAUAUAUCAUUACUAUAUUUUAAUUACUUGAUAAAUGACACAUCACGUACCAUAAUAUUUGGAUAAUCAAGAGUUGAUCAUAUGCAAACAGAGUUUAUGUCAUUGAUCAUUCAACUCUUCAUUGGGCUUGCUCAUCUUUACGCACAAAGUAGUCAACGUAACAUAGAAUUGACCAUAGAAUUUUGAAACAAAAGAAUGGGAAAUGGGAAGAGUUGGCUCAAUAUAAAAGGAAAAUACCAAAUGUUUUACCUGGAUUUUGGAUGAUCCAAAUAAAAACAAUAAAAUAGUGAAAAGGAGACAAACGUUGGAUGCUGCCUUGCUAUGUUUGUAGUGUUCUCCUAAAGAUGGGGAGGAUAGUUAGGCGAUCUAAGUGUGUGAUGAAAAGAGGACAAAGAUGAGAUGAAAAUAAAGAUGAAGGCCACCAAAUUUUAUUUGAAUGAAAUCUACAAAACAGGGCAAAUUUUGACGUUAGAGAUGGAGUUAGCAAUGACCGGCGAUCACGCUGCGACACUCAAGUUAGACUUUAAAUGUUGAGGAGCUGCUCAUGGUCAAAAGUGGAUCUUAAAGCUAUUAAAAAUGAUAAGUAUGCUUUUGUGAAGAAGAUGAGGCAAAUUUUAAAGUGACGAAAGUUUGUCCCCAUUUGAGAGUGAACCUUGAGCUUUUGUGGAGUGUGCUUGAGGAGCAUUUUAGUAGUUUCAAACACGUGGCACUCAUUGAUUGGUUGCCCUCCUUUGGGUGACACGCUUAGGUGUAAGAGGCAAAGAACCAUCAGCCACCCUUUUGCCUAUUAUUUUAUACAUGUGGCAACCUCUCCAGCCAGUGGGCCUACUGUCUUUUGGACCACUGCAGAGGAUAGUUAAUGUGGCAGCCGCUCACUGAUCAUCCUAGGAAUCUCUCCUUCCACUGUCUCCUUGCAUUUAGCAAAAGUGAGAUAUUUUUUAUUUUACAAAUGAUGGCAUGCACUGUUCACGUGCGCCUCCAACCAGCGAAAAAUCUAGUUUCCAAUUAUGCCAUUUGAUAUUACGUGUUUUGCUGAAACUGCCCUUAUUUUCAACGGGCUUAUUUGCUGGCUUGCUUUGAGCUAUCCUGACAUGCUGGUCAAAUUGCUCUGCUUUUUAACCCCCUCUUGCCAGGUGUUUCGUCAUGCCAUUGGUUCACAUUUACACUCAUAAUUCGUCCCAAAUACCAAAUAUUACCUCUAACUUUUGCUUACCAUUCUAGACUCUUUUACUCCGGCACCAAACGGUUUUUUGGGCUUUUAAUUUUGAAUUGUGAAUGUGAAAAAAAAAACAAAAAUUGUACAAAUUGUUAUAGUACUAAAUCACUGUUUUUAACUCCAUCAAUGAAAAUUUAUAUGGUUGUACGCACUAUGGGUGCGUUUGGCGCACUGUAUUGUAUUAUGCUGUGUUACAUUAUUUUAAUGCAAGUGUAUUGUAUUAUGCUGUAUUGCAUUAGAACUGUAUUAUAAUAAUAUUGUACAACGUUUGGUACUACACUGUAUUAAUUUUUAAUAAAUAUUUGAUAUUACACUAUGCUAUAUUAAUUUUUUAAUGAGUAAUUUAAAUUAUAUAUUUAUAAAAUAACAUUUAUUAGUAGUUAGAAAAAUACUAAAUAUAGAAUUCUUAAAUUUUAGAAAUUUAAUAUUAUCUUUUUGGUAUAAACAUUGAAAAAAAAUCAUAAUUCUUCGUAAAGAUUGAAAUAAAUAAUUUAAUCAAAUAACCUUCAAAUAAUAUUAUAACAUAAAUAAAUAAUUAAAAUGUACAAGAUUAAGUUAAAAAUCAUUUUAAGAUAAUAAAAUUAAAAAAUUACACAUACUAUAAAAUAAUAUAAUAGCUGUAGUACGAUAACCAACAAAAUAGAUUGUUAAAAAUAAUUCAAGUAAUACAACAAUAUUUACAACCAACGUUUUUGCUAUCUUUCUCUUUUAAAAACUCUUUUUUAGUUUUAUUCUCAGAACUUCAUAGUUCUUUGUUUUUUUUUUCUUUGCCUCUAUGUUCUUUUUCUUUAUUUUCCUUUUCCUUUUUUUUCUUCUGUUUCCUUUUUCAUUCUUUUCCUUUUCCUCUGUUUUUUAUCUUUCUUUUUCUUAUAAGUUCCCUUUGGGUGAUUUGUCGGAGAGUUGUGUGGCUUUGAUUGCUGGGUCUUUAAGAUCGCCUUCGAUGGUUUUGGUGCUUGGGUUCUUUUGCAUGCCUUCGUCGCCGACGCCAUAGUAUGUGAAAGAAUAUGGCAAUUUUCUAGAGCUUGAAUAGCUAUUUUUCCGGUGGAAUCGGCACCUGCGGCGGCGGGGAUGAGGUCAUGCUCGUCGGAGAUGGUGGUUGUGGACAUCUGGUUCUUGUUGCGGACAUUUCUCCUUUCUUCGUCUCCUUCAUUUUUCCUUUUUUUUUUCCUCUUUUUCUCCUUCUAACACAGUGAGACGUAAUUCCGACUCCCCCACGAGUUUUUUUUUAUGUGGUAUUUGAUGUAUUACAAUAGUAAUUUUAUGUGGUCUAAUAUUGUGUUAAUUUUCGCCAAACGUAGUAUUGUAUUAAUUUAAUACAAUACAAGAUUAUAAUGAGGUGUAAUGCUGGGUGCCAAACACGCCCUAUAUGAUUAUAGAUCAGAUUCCUAAAACAUAUUUAGAUGUGCUUGGCGUUGGGGAAGCGUAGAUAUAUUAUUAUUUCCAAAUAUUAGUACAUUUAAAAAUAAAAAAUAAAAAUCAUACGAUUACCGCCCCAUGGAACAUGACUGUGCUAUUUGGUCAAGAUCCGGCGGCUACCCGGGCCCCGUUUAAUAAAGCGAAGAGAAAAAUUGACCAAAAACUUGGACCGAAAAUUUUAGUUGCAUGAUUCACCACAAUUUUGCAAUGUUCAGUUAUCAUACUUUAUUCCAAUAAAACAAUUAUGGGAACCGACGACAAAAUUUCGAUGCGAUUAGCAAGGGGUGCAUGAGUGAGUGCCAUGACUUAUUUAAUAAUUAUAAUUAUUUAUUUUAUUUCAAAAGUUGUUUUUAGUAUUAUUUAGUUAUAUUUAGGUAGCGUUUACUUUUUGGAUUGGAGUAGGAAUCCUGAAGAGUGGGAAUCCUAGGAUUGAGAGUGUGGAGUGGGAGUGGGAGUAGGUUGUUUACUUACACUGGAAUGGAAGUAUGGAAUGAAGAUCAGAAUCCAAUUUAUGUGUUUACUUUGUCUUGGAUUGAGAGUAAAUAGUUUCAAAUUAUAAUUUUAUCCUUAUUUAAAGAAUUAUAGUUUUUAAUUACAAAGCUAAUAAAAAAUAUAUUUAAUGAAUAAAUAUUUAUUUUAUUAUAUUUGUAAAUUUAUAAUAAUUAUUAAUAUUCUUAAUUAUGAACAUCACAUUUUUUAUUACUUUUAAUUCUAAUAUAAAAUGAAACAUUAUUUUAUUUUAUUUAAUAUAAUUAUAUUAAAUUUAUUAUUAUAUAAAAUAAUAAUAUAAUAUUAUUUAGUACAAAAUUAAUAUUUUCUUAGAAUAAAAUAUUUAUUAUUAUUAUUAUUAAAUAAAUAUAGUACUAUUAUUUUUAAAAUAAAUACAAUAAUAUUAUAUUUAUUAAUUCUCUAUUAAUAUAAUAAUAUUAUUUUAAAAUAAUUUUAACUUAAAAUCAAUACAAAUUAUUAUUUAGUUAAAUAUAAUAAUAUUAUUCAAAUAAAUAUAAUAAUAUUUAUUUUCUUUUAUUAAUUAUAAAAUAUUAAAUUAAAUUAAAAAAAUAAAAAGGUAAAAAAGGUAGAGGUGAGAGUGGAUUCCCACUCCCACCUCCCCCAAUGGGAGUCCCACUCCCACUCCCCACUCCAAAAAUGGGUGGGGCCUACGGAGUGGGAUUCCCACUCUCUUCCCAUUUCGAGGAAGUAAACGCUGGAGUGGGAGGAAUCCAUACUCCCCACUCCCACUCCAGCAAGUAAACACAGCAUUAAAAUAGAGUUCUUGGGAAUCAACUUAUGCAAAAUCUCAAAUUUUGAAUUUUUUAAAGAAAGUUGUUGGGAAUUUUUUAUAAAAUUAUUUAUUUUAUUAUCUUAUUCCAUUCAUUUCAUAGUAUAAUUUCAAUAUACUUGUUGAUUAUAAUAAUUUUAUAAUAUUUAAUAAAAUCUCUCAUUAACAAUCAAAUAUAUUUUUUUAUGAAUAAAGGUUCUAUUUUUAUAAGCUCUGAUAGUAAAAAUUCUUACUUGAAUAAUUUUAUUUAAAGAAAUGAAACUUCAAAUAAGUUAUACCAACUAUGUACCUAAUUUUGCUUUGCUUCCAUUUGAAAUAAUAGAAUAUAAACAUCCAUUACCAUUUCUUAACUCUUAAUCACAAUACAUGUAGCAUUUUUUUUUAAUCUAAAAUCUGAAUGUGGUUUGAACAUUAUUGAAAUCUAAAUGGGUCUGAAUGCAUAUGUCACAAUUAUACACACACACACACACACACACACACACACACACACACACACACACACACACACACACACACACACACACACACACACACACACACACACACACACACACACACACACACACACACACACACACACACACACACACACACACACAUAUUAUUUUUUAUGUCUAAGUAUGAGUGGUAAGUUAUUAUAAACUCAAAACAUCUUAAAUAUUUGCACUUAUGACCUUGAAAGUGUUAUAUACUUCAAGGUUGAAUAUGUAUAUAUUUAUAGUGUUUUCUAGUAUAAUAGUUUUUUAUACGUUAUAAAUAUUUGUAAAGUAAGCAUUUGAUAUAUAUUUUAUGAAAAAUAAUAUUGAUAAUAUUAUUUUUUACAAUUUAACAUAAUAUUUAUACGUGAAAAGUUGUUAUCUAAUAAAUGGAAGAGUUUUUUUAAAUUCAAAUUAAAUGUAUGUUAAGUAUUUAAUACCAAGUAAAAUUUGAGAUAAAGAAAAAUUUUAGUGCGAUAUCUAAUAGAUAAAUGGAAAAUAAAUAUAUUUAAUGAGGAUAUUUCAGUGAAAAAAACUAAUUUUCCAUUCUGACAUUUUAUCAUUAAGAUAAAAAUAAAAAAAUUUUAUUUUUCCAUUAAAAUAAAAAUAUCUUAUAAUAAGACUGCAAAUACAAAUCAAGAAUUUAGACAAUAAAACAAUCAUAUCCCCAUUUAGUUGUUUCCGCUUACACCUCCUUUAUUAAUUUCAAAGGAAAUAUUGUGUCAGUGUGGGGAUACUGAGAUACGUGAUGGAUGUAUCCAUACAAAUUCAUUUUCUGAAGUAAGGUUCAUUUGUGGAGUCAUGCUAGGGCUAUGUCGGCAGCACAUUGUAGCCCAAUGUCCUGGGUCCGGCCCACUGACAGCAUUAUUAGGUGGUAUAAUAACAUCAGCCUCUUUGAUGUUAUGCAUAUUCUUAAAUAAAGGCAUAGUCUAUUCAUUUACAUCAAAUAGGUCCGCCCAUCUCAACUAUCCAGGAUUCUGCACUCAUGCAAAUGACGUUGAAUUUUGUCAAAUGCUCGAGUAUUUUUCUGUCUUUAUAACAGUUUCUACUUUUCUUUUCCUAUUUUUCUUUUAAUCAAAUUUGUCUGAUUCAUAAAAAAAAGGUCUUUGCAAGCGGAAGUAUCAAGUAGAGGUGGCAAAAUUUGACACGAUCCGAUUAUCCGACACGAAUAAAUAAGUAUGUAUUAUCGAAUUUAACAUGAUUAUUAAAUAGGUUGGGUCCGGGUCGACACAAUUUUUUCCGUGUCGGGUUAGUGUUAAAGUUCAUAAUCUAUUUACCUGAUCAAUGACCCGAUUAUAUUUUUUAUUUUAAAAUAAUUUGUAAGUUCUUAUUAUCAAAACUCAAAUAUUAGAGAUGAUUCUCUCUUUUAUUUUUAUUUUUUGAAAAGAUAAAUAUAAACACAAUAUUUUAUUUAUAAAAUUUUAUAUACAUUUAGAGCUUUAAUAAUGUAAUUAUGUAAAUGUGUAAAAUAUUGAUAGAUAUGUAUAUUUUAUAAUCUCGAUAUAUAAUAUUAUAUAUAUAUAUAUAUAUCUAAAACUUUAAUAGUAUAAAUGUGUAAUAUUUUGGUAGAUAUAUAUAUUUUAUAAUAUCAAUAAAUUAUGUAUGUACAACAAUGUGUAAAUGUUUGAUAUAAAUUUUGUUUAAUAUAUAGAUAUUAAGCGAGUUAUUGAGUAAUCCGAUUAUUUUUUGUGUCGGGUUUGAGUCUUAAUAUUGUGACACGAUUAUUAAAUGGGUUGGGUUUGGGUCGACCUAAAUUUGACACGAUACGAAGCUGACACGACACGACACAAACACGACCUGAUGACCCGUUUUGCUAGCUCUAUGGUACUAAGGGACUUAUUUAAUAUGAAAGGAAAUGUUAUGUCCUUAUGUGAGAAAUCAUAAAGUAGUGACCGGGAUUCGACCAGACCCGAAAUCACCCGGCCCGAACCAAUGAGAGCAAAGGCAGCAGUAAAAGAGAGAAGCGGAGACCAUUUUCAAAUUCAACACAAAAACCGAACAGUGACCUGAAGCCCUAACCCCACCGCCAUCUCCGACUCGGCUUUAGUCUCUCAGCCCAUGAAAUUCUCAAUAUUGUCAAACCCUGCCGCUCACCCACCCUCCUCUGUAAUUCACUUCGAACAGUAAACAUCUCUUUCUAGGGUUUCUUCAUCGGUCCGUUGAACAGACCGACGAAAAUGUCUCUCCCUCAAAUACAGUGUAAAUAUAUUACAGAAGAAUGCCUUCGGGAGUGGAAAAACGGAAAUCCUAGCUUCAGAGUCCCUGACCCCGUCCCCAUGCUUCGGUUCCUCUACGAGCUCUGCUCCACCACGGUUCGUUUUUGUGUAAUAUUCAGAGAAGUCUUUGUCUUGUUUAGGGUUGUGGAUUCAUUUAGAUGGACUGCUUGUCGUUUGGCCUUUUCAGGUGCGGGGCGAGUUGCCGUUUCAGAAGUGUAAAGCAGCGGUGGAUUCAGUGGAGUUCGUGGAAAAACCAUCUCAUAGAGUAGUUGCCUCCACUUUCGCUGAUAUUGUCACUCAAAUGGCUCAAGAUGUGAGUUUUUUUUUUUCUUGGUCCAAAUUUUGAGAGAAACUCUAAAGGAAGCUUAGGUUUUCAUUUUGUGCUUAGAGCAAAGAAAAACAUAUGUUCUAGUGAGAUUAAUACUUAACUCAGAUAAAUUGUAUUACCAGGCUUCUGAAUUUGUUAAUACAAAUGUAACUUUUUUCAGGGCUUGUGAAAAUUCUCAAAGUAUGAGAUGAAAUAUAUUUUUAUUUUUACUUUGAUGUGCAAGAUUCUUGGUAUUGGUUUGUUACUCAAUUGCUAAAAGAAUGAAUCUGAGGUUUUGAAUUCUGUUAAUAGGAAUGGUUAUUUGAUUGUCAGUUUUUUGCUGGGUGGAUUAUGGUUUUAUGUUUUUGGAAGUUUGUGAGAACUAGCUCUGCUGACUUGAAUGCUAUAUGUUUGAGAUUAUCUCAGUGAAAAACCAAUGAACCUGAGCUCAGCUCAGGAGAAAUAUUAUAGAUUUCAACUUUGCUGAAGUUUGGCUCGACAGAAUAGUGAGAUCAUCGCAUCUUGAGUUUGAUUUGGAUAGUGUGCUUGCAAUAACAUGAGCAUAAAGGAAGAUUUUACAUGUAUUUUAAGUGCUUCGUAUUGUGUCAUGUAUUUAAAAUAGCGUGUUUUGUUUCAACUUUGUGCUUUGGAACGAUUGGUAAGAUCAGUCGUAUCUGUCUUGUCCAGAAAUUUUGAAUAAAUGUCUCAUCUAUGUAAAAUUUAAACUUGGGAGUGUUACGGUUGUAGUAAAAUUUUGGAGUUAAACCUCAAUUCCAUCAUAAAGGGGAAAUAUGUGACUGGAAGAAAAAUGAAAUUGCCUGUAAUUUAGUUUGAGGUUGGAGUACUUUUAGAUGAAAUGAGCUGAUUAAGCUUUUGGUAUGUUGGCCUAAGCAAUUUACUCUAGGUUCAAUGUGUUUAUAUUCUCCUGUUCAUUGUUAGCUUACUGUGGGGUAUUACUAUCAUAAAUUCAAUGUGGCCUAUUAGAAGCUGCAGUUUAUUCUUUGCACUUUGUGGGUUUUUCCCCAUUUAAUUCUGUAUGUAAGAGUUUAGAAGAGAAAAAUGUUGAAGAAAAGUUUGAUUUCUGGAUUUUCUGUGGCUUUUACACCUUUGCUGGCUUUUGAUGAUAGACUUUCUGGAACUGUUUGUUACACUGGUUUACUUAAACGAAAUCAUUGAAGCAAGAAUGUUGCUGAUCAGGAAUGGAGAGAGUUAUAGAGAGUAAGAGAAGGGGGGUAUUGUAGGAUGCAAGCUACUAAUAACUUCAAGUGUUGUUAUUCACCUUGAGAUCUGAUUUUCAUUUGUUCACUAGAAGUUACAAUUGAGGCCUAUAAAACCCUAAAAAUAUGAUUUGAUCCCAUGAACAAGCACCACUGUAUUGUAUUUAAUUGCUUACAAGGUACCAUUAUUAUGAUUUUUUGUUUUUUGUUUCCUCAUGCGGCCUACAUUUAUCUUUUUUGGGAAAAAAAAAGUUAGUGUGUUCUCAAAUUUUGAUUUACGCUUGUAUGUUCACUUAAUUUUGCAGCUUACAAUGCCAGGAGAGCACCGUGUACGUCUGAUAAAGUUGGUUAGUGUUGAAUCUUUCUAUAUGUGUGAUUUUUGUUGCCUUUUUUUUUUCUUUUGUUAAGUUGAAUUCGGUGUUUUUAUAUUCUUUUUUCUAGGCAAAGUGGCUGGUGGAGUCUGCAUUGGUGCCACUGAGGCUUUUCCAGGAACGCUGUGAGGUGAACUUUGUUAUAGAUUUUUGGAUUUUUGUUUCUUGUUUUAUCCAAUCUUUCAAUAUUUUACUUCACUAGUAACAGAAAGGACUUAAUAUAUGCAUCAUAUUUUGUAGGAAGAAUUUUUGUGGGAGGCAGAAAUGAUCAAGAUCAAAGCUCAGGAUUUGAAGGGUAAAGAGGUUAGUCAUGAUUGUCUGGGAGCUCCCAUUACUUUUUAUUUCACAAUGUUUAAACUAAUGUAAGUUUUUAUUGCUGUAAGCUUACAUGUAAUGGUGAUCAAAGAUCUGUUAUUUUAGCUGCUGCUACGAAUAUGGUAUACACUUUAAUGAAUUGUUUUGAACUGUUACAUGAUGAGUUAUAUGCUAAAUGUACUAAUUCUAAGAUGAUGAUGAUGAUUAUUAUUAAUAUUUACUAAUUCUAAGAUAAGUAGUCGAGCGUCUACUAUUUUAUAUGGAAAUUCUAAUAAAACAUUAUAAUCUGACAAGCAAAUGUAGUAGUCUUCUAUAAAGUUUUCAUGUUUGUUUGUCUGUGUAUAAUGCAGAGUAAUAUUUAGCUGAAAUAAGCAAGUUGGUGAUGACUAAUGGCAGUCAUGUACAAGCACAAUCACGAAUUUGAAAUCUAGAUUUAUGCAAUUGUUGCACUUUUUCUCUUCAUUUCAGGUGAGAGUAAACACUCGUCUUCUCUAUCAACAAACAAAAUUCAACCUUCUACGAGAAGAGAGUGAGGGCUAUGCCAAGCUGGUAUGAUAACUACCUAGUUGAUUUUUUUUUGGAAAAUUUUUCAAUGUAUCUCUUGCUUGAUCACCUCUUCAUAAUGGCACUAUAGUCUUAUGGGUUUUUCUUUUAUGGUGAUCAAUGACAUAAUUUAUUUUGUUUUUUCCACUUAUCAAUGAAGGGGCAUGCCAAGAUAAGCUUUCUUUGCUUAAAUGCAUAGGGAGAUUGGCUUAGUGGUUGCAUUCGACAAUGCAUUUUGCUAAAAGCCCUUUGCUCUGUUUGUGCUUUACAUAAUAGUUUUUUUUUUUGUAAUUUUGAAAAAAUGUUUUUUCUUUUGGGAGAGGGAAGAAAGCCAAAACCUUUUCCUUUACUGUGAAGUGGAAUUGAAUUUGUGGGCUAGACUGCAAAGAACUUGAGAUCAUAUGGGUCAUCUUGAAUUCAUCUUUAAUAUUACUUUUAGAUAAUAGUUGUCUUUGGUAAAGGGAAGUACGCUAAAACCUUAUGAAGAUGUGUUGUUCAGCCCUUUUGUUGUUAUUAAGUUUGGGCAAGUAAUUUUGUCUUAGUUAGAAUGAAGAAAAAAUUAUGGGUAGCUUAUGGGAGGGAGUUUGUAUUUGCUCUUUUGACUCUUGUUUCAAAGAAUUGUCAGGAUUUGUCUUAUUUCUUUAUUGAUCUAAAAUGUUUAGGGGUUUAAGGAUUGUUUGAUGUAGAUAGAUAUCUUUCGGAUUAGAAUAGAUGAUUAAACUUGAUUUUUCAUAUAUCGGUUUUGUGGAUAUAUUUUGUUGAGAUUCGGUUCCCAUUUUUUGGGUUUUACUUGGACAUUUGAUCCACAAUGUAUCUCCUUUCUGUUUCUGUUUUGCUAUGAUUUUUUUUUUUUUAUCAAAAAUCUAUAUUUUAUUCGCUCCAAACAAAAAGAGAAGUUUUUUGUCUGAAGCAAUUGAAUAACUGGUUUGAGCCAUUUUUGGGUGCUAGUUGGUUCAAUUGGUUCUCACUGGGUUAACUUUUGAGCUAAAUGAUAGCAGUCCACUCCUGUUAGGAUUACAUGCUAAGACUAGUUUAGGGUUGGAACAAAUUUUUUAGGCUUUACUUGUGCUAAAUAAUAUCUUUGCUGAUCUGUAGGUCACACUUCUUUGUCACACUUACGAAAAUGCAACUGAAAGUGCAUCAGCAGCAACAAUUGGCAUUAUUAAGGUUUUGACGUGAACUUAAUUAUGUUUUAUCCAGUCUUUGUCAUAAUCCUAAAGCAGGUCAAGGUUAUUCCUUUCUCUGAUUAAUAUAAUCUUUGCAGUCUUUGAUUGGGCAUUUUGAUUUGGACCCAAACCGUGUUUUUGACAUUGUAAGUCUUAGUUUUUGGUUUUUUUUUUUUCUUUGCCUAAACAGUUGAACUAUAUUAAUCUUUCUAUUUGUUGUACUUGGAAUAUAAUAUAAUGGAUUUUCCUUUGAACUGUCAGGUUUUGGAGUGUUAUGAACUUCAGCCCAACAACAAAGUCUUUCUAGAACUGAUUCCCAUCUUUCCGAAGGUUUAUUUAUCUACUAGUUUUAUUUUAUUAGUACUUUUAGGUUCUUUCUGAAUUUACAGAAACCCUUGGUUUGCUAAUGAUGUUAUAAUAUUUUGCAGUCUCAUGCUUCGCAUAUUCUGGGAUUUAAGUUUCAAUAUUAUCAGCGUAUGGAAGUAAACAGCCCUGUACCCUUUAGUUUGUAUAAGCUUACAGCUUUGCUGGUGAAAGAAGAGUUCAUUGAUCUUGAUAGCAUGUAAGUAGUUUGUGCAGAUUUGUAGUUUUAAAUUUAGUGAUCUACUGAUCUUAUAGCUGUAAUAAUUCAAGUAGAUGUAUAUGCCAUCUAAUUACAAUUUGUCAUGGUUUUCUUACUCUAAUCUUUCUGUAGGCUGCACUUUGGUGGUAUUUGAGCAAAGUGAUCCAAAUUUCUUUUAAAACUAUGAAAAAGACAAAUGGAAUCAAUUUUAUUCCUUUUCUUUACUAUGCUUACUGUGAAUUGAUAGGACAAGAAAAAUGCUUCUGAUUUUAGAAGACCAAUUUUCUAUUUUAGUAAGUCUGAGGUUACAUUGGUUUUGCAACGGCCGAGGAUGAUAACUGGUUUUGUUGCUCUAAAUGUUAUCUUACUCUAUAAAGAAAAGCAAGAAAUAGGAGCAAGGAGCUCCAGAACGUAUCAGUGUGCAUACUAAUAUGAUGUUAUGGGCUUUAAUUGGAAUUAUUUUGUUUAAAUGUUGAUAGCUUAAAUAUUUCUUUUGGCUGAUCUGAGAUGUUUGGUGGAAGCUUGGUCUUGAUUUUUGUUUGUCUCCCUAUCCAUGCUUUUUCAGUAUGUUUAUGAGGUUUGAUAAUUGAUUCCUCUGUUAGAUUUUGAUAAAUAGUUUUACUUGCUUGCAGAUAUACGCAUUUACUCCCUAAAGAUGAUGAGGCAUUUGAGCAUUACAAUGCCUUCUCAGCCAAGCGGCUUGAUGAGGUAUAUAUUACAAUUGUAUGCUGAUGGCAGUUUAGUUAGUUAUGUUAUCUCUUGUCAGCUGAAAACUAUUCUAUGUUGGUGUUGGAACCAUUUGCACAAGUGAAUUUGUAGGGCUGCUUGUGUGCAUACAAUGUUUGAUGUUCCAUUUUUUUCCCCCUAUGUUAUGUGUUUUCCGCUUAGUUUUUAUUGUUCUGGGCACUUUGAUGAACAUGGAUAGCAUUAUGGCAGAAACUUGACUAGUUUCUUUUAUUGAUUUAUUUGAUGUAUCUCACUUGAUCCAGAUUGUGCUUUUAGUGGAUUCUGUUUUUAUUAAUAUAUAGACUUUCUGCAGGCUAACAAAAUUGGCAAAAUAAAUCUUGCUGCUACUGGGAAGGAUUUGAUGGAGGAUGAAAAACAAGGAGAUGUCACCAUUGAUUUAUUUGCAGCCUUAGACUUGGAAAAUGAAGCAGUGGCUGAAAGGUCUCCAGAACUUGAAAAUAGUCAAACUUUGGGCUUGCUUACUGGUUUUCUUUCAGUAGAUGACUGGUAGGUUUUAUUUUACCAUUAAUUUCUGUUUCUGGGGCUGUUGAUAAGUUUAAUGCCUUGUUGUUUUCCUUGUAUGUUCAUUGUGUGAAAAUUUCACCAUUGAUUUAAAUUUUAUUUUUGAUUCCAUUGGUUCUUCAAGAGUUGCAUUGAGCAUCCUAUUAUUAUAUUAAGAUUUUAAGUAUGUUGCUGUGAGACUGCCUGUUCUUGAGCGAGACCAUUUCCUUUUUCAUGGGGUUCCUACAGAAUGCCCUCCUGCCUACCUCUCCUCUGAAAUUUAGUGUUCUGUUACACCCUCAUGUACUUCAGAUAUAUUUAGUUGUGAAUCUGUGAAUGUAUGGUGGUAAAUUAGGUUUAUUAACUUGAUGGCUGUGGUUAUCAUUUGAGCAUACAAUAGAUAUCUGAUGUUUGUGUUUUUUUUUUUUUUUUUUAAAUCAUGGACAUGGUACAACUAUUUUGAGGAAUUAACAUGUUGAACGGAAUUUGAUUUGUAUGAUUUUUUCUCAUGCUGUCUUGAAAUUACAUUUAUAUUGUAUUUAUGAAGUGGUUAUUUGAGUAUAAAACAGGUAUCUUAUAUUCUUAUGUGUCUUCUUUUUUUUUAAAAAAAAAAAAAUUAUCAUGGAUGUGGUCCAACUAUUAUGAAAAGUUAGCAUGUUGAACUGGAAUUCAAUUUGUAUGAUUUCUUAUCAUGUUGUCUUGCAAUUACGUUUAUAUUAUUCAUAUUCAUGAUUUUAUGUAUUGUGUAUUAUUCUUUUCACAACUUUUUUGUCAGGUACCAUGCCCAUAUACUGUUUGAACGUCUUGCACCCCUUAAUCCAGUGGCACACAUUCAAAUUUGUGAUGGCUUGCUUAGGUAAGUCUUUCUCUUUAUUUUAAUGUAGUUAAGAUUGCCAGUAUGUUAGUUGAUGUAUUCAUGCAUGCUGAUAUAGUCAUGUUCACAAGGAUACAGAGAAGUAGUUGUGCAUUUUAGCAUUAAUUGUGGAGCAGCCUAAAAGGUUUAAGCAUUCUUCUGCAUAUUAUAUUUCUCUGUUCUCCAAAUAUACUUUGGUAUGGAGAGUUUCGUUUUUUGUUUUGACAAUACUUGUUUUCGUUUCCUUUUUUCAAUGAUAUUUUGUUUUAAAUAUCCAGGCUCAUUGAAAAUUCAAUCUCGUCAGCAUAUGAUAUUGUUCGUCAAACACAUCUUCAGAGCUUUGGAUCUUUCUCAGGAGCUGGUAUCGAUGCAAUGGAUACAGCAGAUUUGACAGUCCACAGGUCUUUUAUAGAUCUUCCCAAAGAGCUUUUUGAGAUGUUGGCUACCUUGGGACCUUAUCUUUACCGUGAUACUGUAUUGCUGCAGAAGGUGCAUUCUUUUGCUUCUGAUUUGUGAAACAUGCACUCACACAUAAAAGAUGUGACCUUUAUGCUUAUGGUGGUGGGUUGUUUGUUUUUCAUGAGCAGGUAUGUAGAGUAUUAAGAGGUUACUACUUUUCUGCUCUUGAGCUUGUCAAUUGUGGUGAUGGAGCUCCAAAUCCUGAACCUCUUAUGGAUCGAAAUCGAGUUCCUCGUCAGCACCUAAAGGAGGCCAGGUUGAGGGUAGAGGAAGCAUUGGGAGCUUGUCUACUUCCUUCUUUACAAUUGAUACCCGCAAAUCCAGCAGUUGGUCAGGAGAUCUGGGAAGUAAUGAACCUCCUUCCAUAUGAGGUUGGCCUUGCAUCAGUGCUAUUUGAUAUUUUCAUUUGAGAAUUAGACAAUCUUGCUAGAUGAAUCUCAUCUCCUUAGGUGCGAUAUCGCUUAUAUGGUGAAUGGGAAAAAGAUGAUGAAAGGAACCCUAUGGUUUUGGCUGCAAGGCAAACAUCCAAGGUAUGAGAUUAGUGUCUUGUAGAGUUCUUUGUUUUCUGCAAUCUUGAUGCCAUGAGACAAUCUUACAUUCUUUGUUGUUUUCAGUUGGACACAAGAAGGAUUCUGAAACGGCUUGCAAAAGAAAAUUUGAAGCAACUGGGUCGUAUGGUUGCAAAACUAGCCCAUGCAAAUCCCAUGACUGUACUUCGAACAAUUGUACACCAGGUUUCUGUUUACAGCAUAGGACAUUAUUCAUCUUCUCUGGAAAACCUUGAAACUUAUAUCUAAGAGUACAUAAUAUUUUGCAUUUUGGAAUUUUGGAAUGCAGAUUGAAGCGUAUAGGGACAUGAUUACUCCGGUGGUGGAUGCAUUCAAGUAUUUGACACAGGUCUGAACUUUUAGCCACCUGAGGUUAUUUCUUUAGUGGAAUCUUCUUGUUAAUUUUAAACAAGGUCUCUAAUUUGUAACUUCUAAAGAGAACCAGUUGUAGCUUUUCAGAAGCUUCAAGCUUUCCUACCUUUUCCUUUUUUGAAAUUUAUUUUUACUCUUUUGUUUUCUUCUUUUUUCAUCCACACACAUUUUAUGCUGAAUUCCUUUGAAAAUGUUGAUUGUGAUUUUAUAUUCUGUAUGGAAUACUUAGAUACUGGCAAUUUUUGAAUCUAAAUCAAGUUUGUAAUGAUAAAAGGAAAAAAAAGAACAAAAAGGGCCAUUGGAUUUCAAUCCAACAGUCCCAAGUGCAGAUUCCACUCUAGAAAAUGACCUGGAGUACUUUAUUUGUGAUUCUGCAUGUUAAUCUUCUAGCACCUACAGUUGAAUCCUCUUAAUUUCUUGCUUUCCUCUGCAGCUUGAGUAUGAUGUUUUGGAAUAUGUUGUAAUUGAGCGUUUGGCACAAGGUGGGCGUGACAAGCUAAAAGAUGAUGGCCUUAAUUUGUCUGAUUGGCUUCAAUCUUUGGCUUCGUUUUGGGGUCACCUGUAUGUACAGUUUUCUUUGCAAAGCUUUGAAUUAUCUUUCAUAUUUGACUUGAAUAAUUAAGCAUUUGGAACUGUUUCUUGUCUUUCGUUUUAUUAAAUUGUUUGUUAGCGGUUAUAGUCAGCAUCUUGUGAUAAUGAAGAAUUUGGUCUUAAAUUGAUGCCACUGUUGGUAAAGAGGCUUUGAGUGUAAUCCGGCAUUUGGUAUGCAUGAAGUGUCACCUUUUCUAAGCUUUGUGUGCAUAUAUGCCAUCUUCCUUGUUGUUUUCCUUUCAAUUGAUUUCUGCUUAUUAAUGCGGUUAGUAACAGAGUCACUUUGUACAUCAAUUCAUUUUGCAUAGAGUCCAGAAUAUCCUGGGAUGCUUUACUACAGUUUCCGGGUUGAAGAUAAAACUUGGCAAAAGCAAGAUGUCUGGAGCUGGGUUUGUUUUGGACAUUGCAGAUGUGCAAGCUCUGAUCAGUUUGAAUUCUUUGGCUUGCCAAUUGGGCGGUGUUCACAGUUAGUUAUAUGUAAUUGUCUGACAGAGAUGAAAGGUCAUAGGACUGGGAUAGUGAUUUUUCUUGGAGGGGGACACUUGGUCAGGAUCUCAUUAUUCAGACUUCCCUUCAGUUCUUUCUGUCUUCCAUUUUCAAUUUUGGUCUAUAAGAGACUGAAGGGGAGAAAAAGUGAUCCCUAGAUCAUUCAAGUGAGAAUCCUAAGCACAUGGAAAAUGGAAGAUUAUGCCUGAAUUGAAUUAGUUAUUAGCUGUCAAACCGUCCCUUAUGCUUUCUGAUAAAGCAUGAAAGAUUUGGUGUCAUUAAUAGAGAUGGGAAACUAAUGGAAAGAAAGGCAGAGAGAAAGCAUGUGUGCACAAGAACAUAAUUGGACGGUAAUCUGCCUGUUGUUGUUGAGGGAUAUAGUGGAGAGGUAUGAUUUUUGCAGUGUAUGGAUGUAGAAAUGGAGAUUAUGUACGUAUCUUGGUACUAAUUGCUCGGACUGACUGAUGGAGAGAUAUAUGUGUAAUUUCUACUGUUGACUGGAAGCUGUUUGAUGCGAUUCAUAUUCUUAACUCACUAUCUAAAUGAUUAGGAACUGCUGUGUCCUUCCAGUUUUGCCUUGUGAAGAAUCAUAAAUAUAGGUGAGAGGCUGGAAGUAGCAUGCAGUUGGUGUGGGUAUUAGGAAUUGUAGUCAACAUCCUGUCCUGUGGUGGUCCCGAGAGUUGUAUGCUUUUGUCCUCUGAUUUGCUGUCAGAAUGUUCCAGGAGUGGUAUAUUUUUGUUCAAAUCAGAUUUUUAACCCAAAGUGUACCAUUGGUGAUUUCUGUGAAGGAAACUGUCUUGAUGAAAGAUGAAUUCUGCUGUCAGAGUAAAUACCUCUGCUUUUUCUGAUUCUAGCUGCAUUAGCUGGUUUUGGGUUCUUUGACGGUCGGGAAAUCAUGUGGGUCUUCAUGGUUCAAUUCCAUGCGUCGUUGGUGAGCUACUGCCUUUGAUGAAAAGAUAUUUUCUACGGUUCUUCAAUUUAAAUCUGAGGGUUAGACAGAGGAUGCUCUUGCAAAUUAAGGGAUAUUUAUCUUCUGUUGAGGCAACAUCAGAUAUUUGUGGUCAAUGAUGUUUCUAUUGGGGUCCCUCUGUCAAAGCUGUCAAGGGUGUGAGGCUGUUCACUUAUUCAAUAAAGAUGGGUAGUUAUUUUUAAUUGGAGACUUGAAUUUUUUUUUUUAAUUUUUAAUUUUUCCUUGUUUUUCCCUCUAUGGUGAAUUGUCAUGUCAUGUAAGUAGUGGGUCCAUAGUCUUCUGCAUGUAAUGUGUGGAUUGUCAAAGAGAAAGUUGGUGGACAACUUGUUAUUUAGGAAUGGACUACCUGCAUAGGCUAGUGAGCUCACUCCCUUUGCCUACAGUAUAGAGGACCCUGUUCACAAAGUUGGAUGUAUGAAUACUGUUUGAACUUCUAUAGGUAUGUUCAUAUUUAUCUUUGUUUUAAUCCUAGUUCUUGACUGUCUUUGGUAUCCAUUGAUAUGUAGUAGUCCCAUGAUGUGACCAUGUUAACUGAGACUCGCUGCAUCUUGAUGUUACUGAGUACUAAAUUUUGGAUGUUUAUGUUGAUUGCCAGCAUACAGGUGGGUUUUCCUCUGGUAUUGCACAAAUAUUAAAAUGUUAUUGUCAUGGUAUACAUGUAAAGAAUCCUUUGAAAGCCUGUGAAAAUAACAUAAUUCUGGCAGUGGAGAAUUAAUUAAUGUUUAUUGCUGAAUUUGAUGCUUGGAACAGUUUUGGCAAUCUCUUUUUUUAAAAAGAAAAGAUUAUGGUCUUGAAUCUAUGUAUAUGUCUUCGAGGUGGAUCUCCUUAGCAUAACUGUAAUAAUUCUAAUUCACAGAACACUAACAUUUAACCUGGAUAUUAUGUGAAUACAACUUGGAAAAAGAUACAGGAGAGCAUGCUUAAUAGUCGAUUGGUAGACUAUUCAGAAUGAACACCCCCCCCCCCCCCCCCCCCCCCCCCCAAAAAAAAAAAAAAUUGGGGGCGGGGGGGGGCACCACUUUUUUUUUUUUAAUUUUCAUUGAAAGUUGCUGUGCCUUACGAUGAGUUUAGCCUAGUAGACUGCUGGUCCACUUUUUUCUGGAAUUCAUUUUUUGCAUCAAUAAAAUUGUGUUGUUUCUAACCAGAAAAAGAAAACAAAAACUGCAUUAGCGGUUAAGUUUUUCCUUCUUGCAAAGAAGUUAAAGCUAAGUAUAACUCAGAUUAAGUUCUUCUGCCUUCUGUUUGUGCAAAUCUCCCCCCUGCUUUUUGUGUAUGUUUGUGCAGCCUUAGCUCCAGCCCUUACCAAAUGUGAACCAAAUUCUUUCCCAAUCACAGUGUGAAUAGAUUGAAUCUCUGGACCUCUUGUACACUUGGAGAAACCUAACUAAUCAAACUAAGUGGUGCAUGUGCUAUCUAUCCAAGCUUGGAUACUGAAGGCUGCAACUACUAAAAUAAGGUAAUGGAAGAUCAAAAAAUAACAAGCAAGACGAAAAGCGGAUCAAAAGGAGCCAGUCAUCUGCUGUCAUUAACAUUUCACACCAAGUAGUUUUGCAUUUCAUCGCCAUAUUUGGUGUUUCCUACUCUGAUUUAGAAUAAUCUGUCUCUGGGUUAGUUGUCUAUUAUAAAAGGCUCAUUUCUCAAGCUUUGUAGGCAGGACUGCUAGUGUUUAUAGUGCCUGAGUUCUUUGGCUUUCUUGUAUAAUGGUGGUAACAGCAGAUGACAACAAAUAUUGUUUCUUUAUGCCUAAGUUCUUCUCAGCUUCUUUGCACUAUAUUUGAAAAUAGUUUCAUGAAGAAAAUCAAAGCCAAGUCCUGCUCCCUAUCGAUCACCAGCUGUAAAUAGGGUGCACACCAUGACCCAGUCAUCUUAUUGUCCCAUGAAAAUGCUUUUCUGGAUCGUUGCAAUCAUUUUACAGAUAUUAAAGCCUGAGAAAUAAUAGUGCCUGCCUUCAUUGAAUAUUAUUUGGUUGCAGCAUUAGGUCUGGACAUAACAACCCUACAAAAUAUUAAUGCCAAUGAAUUUUCCCUUUUUAGGUUUCCUAUCUUUUUUCUUCAGCUUGCCUGCACUUUAUCUGGCAAUAGUUUCUUACUGAACCUAGAAGCUCCCUGUUGUUCACAGUUGUGCAACCACGUUGCAUGUGGUACACAUUGUGGAAUCUUCCUCUUUUUUGAUAGGAAACUAGUAUUAAUAAGAACAAUAAUUACAAAAUGUGAACAAGAAAUCCACAAAGAAAGAAACACUCCCAAGGAUUAUAACCGCCACCUUCAGAUGCUCAAACAACUGUCUGGGCAUUGAUGGAAAAUUAUGACUUCUCAGUCCUUGCUUGAACCUUAAAAAUGGUGAUUUUAUGUGGAAGUAAUGGUGACAUUGAAUUUUUUGCUUCAUGUCUUUUAACAGUUUUUGGACUUCCUGUGCUGCAAAUGAGAAUAGCUUCAUAUAGAAAUUUGAAGCCAACUCCUUGUAGUUGAUGAUUAUGCUAUUAAUGAGUCUGCAUGUGGAACGGUCAUGUUUCCCAUGUUUUUUCAUGAAAGAUUGCAGGGUAUAUGUUGUUAUGGUGAUAAGACAAAAAUUUCAUACUCCUUUUUCAUUUUUACAUUUAUUCAAACUUAUUGAAGAUCUUCUCUCUCUCUCUCUCUCUCUCUCUCUUCAAACAUGAAUUUGAAAUUUGCAUUUGUUUUAUGGGAUUUCUUGAAAUUUUACUAAGUUCAAUUUCCAUAUCACAGGUGCAAGAAGUACCCAUCAAUGGAAUUAAGGGGUCUUUUCCAGUAUCUGGUGAACCAGUUAAAAAGGGGGAAGGGGAUUGAGCUAGUUCUCCUACAGGUGUUAUCUACUUUUAAUGGUUCUCCACUUUGGUACAUGCUUAUGCCCAACGAUUAACAGUUACAUUUUGGGGUUUUAUGAUUAAAUCAGGAACUUAUUCAACAAAUGGCGAAUGUCCAAUACACUGAGAACCUGACGGAGGACCAGUUGGAUGCCAUGGCAGGAAGUGAGACACUCCGGUAUCAGGCUACAUCAUUUGGAGUAACCAGGAAUAACAAGGUUUAUGGAACUCUUUGAUCUUUCCAGCAAUUUCUGGGGAAAUAAAUUCAUCAUUAUAUUUAUAUUGCUUGACUGUGGCAUCAUCUGAGUGUUAGAUGACAAUUUAAUUAUGUUGGGGUUAAAACUUUCCGGUCUCUUAAUUGGAUCUCAAGUAGUUUACAUUGUAAAAGUAAGGAACAUUUAUAAGUUUAAACUGGAGUGCUAAAUCUUUCUGCACAACUCUGCUCAAUUUAGCUGCCAUGUGCACAAAUUUGGGAUCUGAAAUAAACAUAUUGUUGCUGUUCAUCAAACUCUGAGAGAGAGAGAGAGAGAGAUCCUAUUGGAGUUCAUCAAACUAACUUUGAAGACUUUUUAACUGGAAUUUUUUCUUUAACUUCUUUCUGUGCAGGCUCUGAUCAAAUCCACCAAUAGGUUAAAAGACUCAUUGCUUCCAAGGGAUGAACCAAAGUUGGCAAUUCCCCUUUUGUUGCUUAUAGCUCAGCAUCGUUCUGUGUAAGCUAUUCAACUUUAAUCUUUGUACAACCACUUGAAUUUGGCGGCACUCUUUCCUAACAAGGAGAUUCAAUCUUCUGGUGAAGUAUUUGUGAAACCAAUUUUAUCAAGAAAACGUGUUGUUUCUUAAUGCCAUCCUUAUGUAUCUAUUGGUUUUCCUGGGUUGUUGAAUUUUGUUUUUCAUUUUCAAGUAUCAGUUCAGACAUUCUUCUAAGACUCGGACACACUCUUACAUAUGUAUACACAUAUAAAUGCAUGAAAAAUAAAUAUAGAUUUAUUUAUUUAUGCAUAUAUAUAUAUAUAUAUAUAUAUCUGUCUGCUCAACUUGUACUAUUUUCAUGCAUUUACUUAUGUGCUUGUCUAACGACUUAGGCAAUAUGGUUUGGAGAUGAAAGGGCCUGUGGGAUUGAACUAUACUAUUACACAUAAGAUUGUUAAGAAAGAAUGUGAAAGAAGUUGUGUGUGAAUUUGAGUAAAUGUGAGCAUAUUGUUAAAUUCUUCAAUCUAAAAGCUUAAGAUAUCAAUUGAAGGUCUCCACCACAUGACAAGCAGCCAUUAUCUAAUACAAUUGAGUAACACGGAUUUAGUUAUGUGUCCACAUCAAUCGGAAACUAAUGAAGAUCGGGUAACUGAACAUGUGAACAGAAAUUGAACUUUGGUUUCAUUGCAUAUGAAGCAAACCCAGCCAGCCAAAGGCUUUAGUUGUUCAGUGUGCAAGUAAGCUUCAUAUAAAAUGGCCUUGUCGAACAUUAUAUUUAACCUUGUUCAUACUAAAUUAUAGUACUCUUUUGGCUGGCUUAUUCGAUCUAGAUUAUUCUUGUUUUCUCAGCCUUUUUUUUUCUUGGCUACAGACACUAUAUUUACUAUAUUUUGCUGAAGUCAUUCAAAGGAGUAGAACUGUUGACUGUAUUAUUGCCAUGCAAUUUCCUGCAAUUGUUUAUAAAAUAGCUAGUCAGUCAAAUUCUUGUUUAUAUGUGUAUAUAUAUAUAUACGCGCGCGUGCACGUAUUGUGAUUUCCUUUUUCCGUUUUGACUGGACCCUUGAUAGUCUUAAGCUUUUCUUGGCUGGGUUUUUGUUCUGUAUGAUAACUAAGUUUAUUUUAUCUGCCCCCUGUUCAUAAUUAUGCAAAAGUUGUUUAAAAAUUGGAGAGUUGUUGGAAACUCCUCUGAUUGUAUUAUUUCCUGCAGGGUUGUUAUAAAUGCAGAUGCACCUUACAUAAAAAUGGUUUGUGAGGAGUUUGAUAGAUGCCAUGGAACUCUUCUUCAGUACGUGGAAUUCCUUUGUAGUGCUGUAACUCCAGCUACUGCUUAUGCUCAACUGAUUCCAUCUCUUAAUGAUCUUGUCCACCAGUACCACCUGGAUCCUGAGGUUUGCCUUUAAUAACUCUGUGAUUCUCCUCUAUAUUGUCAAGAUGGUUUUACUACUGACAGCUGAUGGGCUUUAUCUAUUAUUCAUCUUGCUGUUAUGGUAUAAUAACUUAUUCAAUGUUUAUUAUUUUCUUGACUUAGGUAGCCUUUUUGAUAUUUCGCCCUGUAAUGAGGCUCUUUAAGUGUCAGGGGAGUUCUGCUGUUUUCUGGCCUUUAGAUGACGGUGAUGCUGCAAAUAACACAACUAUAAAUUCAGAGUCUGAACCUUCAGAAGAUAUUGGCAAUGUGAUUCUGGAUCUUGGGUCUCAGAAGCCUGUAAUGUAAUAAUCUUUAACCUUGAUCUUAUUUGAUCACUAUCUUUGAUAUCAAUUGAUAUCUGUUAGUUGAUUGCCUUCUGUUCAUUAGUUAGAAUCUAAAUCUUUUGAUUUCUUAUAUCUCUGUUUGGAAAGGAGAAGAAAGGGUGGAGAACUAUAGAUCAUUAUGCACACAUAUCAUAUGCUUUGCCAGACCCUUUUAUCUAUUUAUUCCUGAAGUCUCUUUCUUGUUACUUUUCACUGGUAAUAAACCUAUAUGAAUAUAUGCAGGUGGUCAGAUCUCCUUGACACUGUUAAAACUAUGUUGCCCUCAAAAGCCUGGAACAGCCUCUCCCCCGAUCUCUAUACGACUUUCUGGGGGCUCACACUCUAUGAUCUAUAUGUUCCCAGAGACCGAUAUGAAUCUGAAAUCGCCAAACAGCAUGCCGCACUUAAAGCUCUGGAAGAGCUUUCAGACAAUUCGAGUUCAGCAAUUACUAAAAGGAAAAAAGACAAGGAAAGAAUUCAAGAGUCUUUAGAUCGUCUGACUAAUGAACUUCAUAAGCAUGAAGAAAAUGUUGCAUCAGUUCGUCGGCGACUUUCUCGUGAAAAGGACAGAUGGUUGAGUUCCUGCCCUGAUACUCUGAAGAUCAAUAUGGAGUUCCUUCAGCGUUGCAUUUUUCCUCGCUGCACUUUCAGCAUGCCAGAUGCUGUCUAUUGUGCCAUGUUUGUUCAUACUCUUCAUUCCCUUGGCACACCAUUUUUCAACACAGUAAACCACAUUGAUGUUCUGAUUUGUAAAACCUUACAACCUAUGAUAUGCUGCUGCACUGAAUAUGAAGCAGGCAGACUAGGGAAGUUUUUGUUUGAGACAUUAAAGAUUGCUUACCAUUGGAAGGUAAAUGACAAUUUGAAUUUUUCCUCUCUGUUGAUUAAACAUUUCCAAUGGUUUUGACAUUUCCAUAACAUUUCUUGGAUGUGACCAAUGCUCUGUCUGCAGAGUGAUGAAUCUAUAUAUGAACGUGAAUGUGGAAACAUGCCUGGGUUUGCUGUAUAUUAUAGAUAUCCCAACAGCCAACGAGUCACAUAUGGCCAGUUCAUUAAGGUGAAUCUAUGGACUGCAAUUAUUUUAAAACUUCCCUCUCGCUUAUUUGACUUGCAUCCAUAUAUAUAAAACUACUUGUUAGGAACAGCAUGUCAUCUACAUUCAUUUUGAUAUUUCUCAAAGGCUUUAUCUUUCUGUCCUUGUCUGCUUAUUCAUCUGUGUAGGUGCAUUAUGCGUGAUUUCAAUUGUAGGUGCAAAAAUAUUUGCUAGGCAUACCUGACUAAGCUGACUGGUAUGUGUAUUUGGAUGAGGAAUUAAGUUAAACUGAAUUACAUUUUUUUCAAUUGGUGAUGAGGUUGUCAUAUGUUACGAGCUUUUAAUUUCAAAACCCUGUGGAAAGAUAUUUUUUGGGCUGGCCUUUCCUGAAUAAUCUGAAUAAUUAUAAUAAAAAUGUGAUGCAAUGAUGGUAGGAACAUCCACUUUUGCCAAUACAUAGGAAUUCUUUGGAAGUCUUUUUCUUUAAGUCUUUACUUUUUUCCAGAGCACAUAAGUCUUAAAGGCAUCUCCAUGACUUGUCCUUGCCAAAGCUUCAUUUACGAUUAGCCUACGUCUUGGAUCCCUUAAUGUUGAUUGAAUGAUUUAAUGUUAUGCAACUACCACACUUGGCUUGCAUUUACCCUCAGGCAUGUUGGCCCAUUUACAUUUAAGAUCCAGGAAGCAACUUUAAAGGAUGCCUUAAUUUUCUGACGAGAUUUCUGAGGAAUUUAUUUGUUUUUUUCUUCAGUGUCCUCUAAAGAACUUUUAGACUUCCUGCUUGUCUUGUGCUUUUUCUCAUGACUUAUGCAGAGAGUCAUCCACUUUCAUCCCUAUUUGUUGUGCAAAAUGAUUAUGAAAUACAAGUUUUGGAAAAAAGAAAUUAUAUGCCAUAGAUGGUGCAAAGAGAGAACUUGUUUUAGCAUCUCCAUUGUCGAAAUCAAUAUAUUUAGAGGGAGGGGGAAAAAAACAAGAUUUUAAAGCAAAUUCCAAUCUCUGUUUGUCACUUUGGUGUAGAAAAUGAUUCUGAGAUAUAAUUUUGAAAAAUUCUUAUUCACCACAGACGGUGCAAAGAAAGCACUUUCUUAGCAUCUCCAUUGUUGAAAUAAAUAUGGAGGAAAAAAAAAUUCAAGAUUUUUGUUUAGUAAAUUCCAAUCACGUAAUCACGUGUUUGUGUGCGUGCAUGUGUGUGUAUCUGUGUGUGCAAGGUACAUUUGGUUUCCAAGGCCAUUACAUGUUUCAUUGAGUAAGGUUGCUGAUCUUAUUGGGACAUAAUUAGUUUAGUAAUUAAUGAUUGGCUGAUGCUGCCUCUUUGCACCAUUUUUGCUCGGAAUGAUUUGUCAUUUUCCGCACUGUCUUAACAAUGUUACUUAGUUUGCAUUUUUGUUGAUAGGUUCACUGGAAAUGGAGCCAAAGAAUCACGCGUUUAUUGAUUCAGUGCUUGGAAUCAGCUGAGUAUAUGGAAAUUAGGAAUGCUCUUAUAUUGUUGACAAAAAUAUCUGGUGUCUUCCCAGUUACUCGAAAGAGUGGGAUCAAUCUUGAAAAGCGGGUAGGAGACUGACCAUCAGUGAUUGUUAGCUGUUUCCCUCUCAUUUUUAAAUUUAAUUGUCAUAAGUUAUGCAUUUCCUAUUCUCUCUGUUCUACAGGUAGCUAAAAUAAAAAAUGAUGAGAGGGAGGAUCUCAAGGUUUUGGCAACUGGUGUUGCUGCUGCUUUGGCUAAUAGAAAAGUAUGCUGCAACUUAAAUUUUCUGGAAGAUUGUUCAUAAUUAAACUUCUAUUAACUUUUGCUUAUUGUUUGCAGUCUUUCUGGGUUACUGAUGAAGAAUUUGGCAUGGGAUAUCUUGAACUGAAACCAGCUCCAUCACUUGCUUCGAAGUCUUUGUCUGGUAAUGUAGUAGCGGUGCAAGGUUCUGCUAUUAAUGUUUCUCAAAGUGAACCUGGCACGGGGAAUUCAGUAAAAGACCAUAUUUCAAGAGCAAAACCUGGUGAUGGGAGGUUGGAAAGAACAGAAAGCAUCUCACAUGUAAAAAGUGAUAACGUAAAAUUGAAAGGCAGUUCAUUGACUAACGGUUCUGAUAUUCAUUCAUCCAUGCCCUCGACUGCUGUGCAAGCAGAAAUGUCAAGAGUGGUGGAAAAUCAAAAACAGGUGGAUGAAGAUGAAAACAUGGCCAAAGUAGCUAUGAAGAACUCAGCAGAGUCUGAGGUAUUAUCUGAACCUCACAGCUGCAUGUGCUUGACUUGUUUUUAAUAGGUUUUCUAUGAUUUAGUAGCAUUAACGACUCAAAAACAUUGAAUCAAAGAGAUUUUAGCUUACAUUCUUCCAGAAAAUGGAUGUAUGAUCAUGUUCAGGCCUCAAAAGUAUACGUAUGCAGCGUGAUUAUAUGACUUCUAUGGAAAAGCUCAUGUGUUGAAUUAGAUACCUAAUAGUCCAUUCCUUCUGCCGCUUGCUCCCUCAAUAAGAAGGAAAGGGUGAUUUCAUUUGUUGAAUGGAUGCAGUGAAUGAUCCUUCUGCCUCCUAAAAUCCUAAUGUUUAACCCCCCCAACCCAAAAAAAAAAAAAAAAAUUCUUCUUGGUGUUAUAUUUCUGUAUAGAAUACCUAGCAACUCAAAAUUCGCAUUGCUCAUCAAAUGGUUAAAGAGGUUGAAUUUCUAACUUGACCAUUAUACAUGGACUAUUUUACGUUCCUUUUGAAUGGUUCAGUGCAAGUGCAAGAAGAAAAUAAGAACAAGAAUUUUAUAGACUAGAUCAUAUAUAUUCUUAAGUGUUAAAGAAGAUUUAGUCUACAGUGAAAAGGAAUUUAUGCAAUGUUUGAAGUACCUUCUUUUGAGCAUUAUAGACCUUCAAUGAUGUGGUUCUCUACCCUAUAUAUCUGAUUACUUUUUUUUUUUUUUUUCAAACACGCUUUCUGAAUACCUUUUUUUUUCCCCCUUCUGUCUCCUCUCCUCUGUGUUAAAUGUUUACAGUCAAAAGCUUCAGUGAAACGGUCAGUGCCAAGUGCAUCACUUACAAAGGCACCAAAACAGGAUCUUGCCAAGGAUGAUAAUAAAUCAGCAAAAGCUGUUGGCAGAACUUCAGGCUCUUCCGCCAACGACAGAGAUUUCUCUUCUCAUGCAGCAGAGGGGAAGCAAGGUGGAGCAACCACUGUUUCUUCUGCAGCUGCUGUCACCGCUAAUUUGGUUUCGGCUAAAGGCUCAUCUUCAUCUUCAAGAGCAUCAGAUAUGCAUGGUAAUGAAUCUAAGACUGACGGUGGAGUUGCCAAGUCUUCUGAAGUAAGGCUUUCCACUGGUAAAAGUGAUGGCAACGAGGUUUCUGAUGCACCAAAGUCCUCUUCAUCCCGAACCAUGCAUUCUCCAAGGCAUGAUAGCUCUGUUGCUGCUUCCAAGUCUGGUGAUAGGCUUCAAAAAAGAACUAGUCCCUCUGAAGAUCCUGACAGACCAAGUAAACGUUACAAAGGGGAUACUGAAUUAAGAGAUUCUGAUGGUGAAGUUCGAGUACCUGACAGAGAGAGGUCGGCAGAUCCUCGAUUUGCAGAUCUUGACAAAAUUGGAACAGAUGAACAGAGUAUGUAUAGGACCACGGAUAGGUCAAAAGACAAGGGCAAUGAAAGAUAUGAAAGGGACCACAGGGAAAGAUUGGACCGUCUUGAUAAGUCCCGCGUGGAUGAUAUCAUACCUGAAAAACAAAGGGAUAGGUCAAUGGAAAGGUAUGGGAGAGAGCGUUCAGUUGAGAGAGGACAAGAGAGGGGUGCUGAUAGAGCAUUUGAUAGGCUUGCUGAAAAAGCUAAAGAUGAUAGAAACAAGGAUGACCGAAGUAAAUUACGUUACAAUGAUUCAUCUUCAGAAAAAUCUCACGUUGAUGAACGGUUUCAUGGGCAAAGCUUGCCUCCACCACCUCCCCUACCUCCUCACAUUGUUCCCCAAUCUGUGAAUGCUGGUAGAAGAGAUGAAGAUGCCGAUAAGAGGUUUGGAAGCACCCGACAUUCUCAAAGGCUUUCUCCAAGACAUGAUGAAAAGGAACGGAGACGAUCUGAAGAAAAUUCCUUAGUUUCGCAGGAUGAUGCAAAACGUAGAAGGGAAGAUGAUUUUCGAGAUAGAAAGAGAGAAGACCGAGAGGGUUUGUCACUGAAGGUAUGCAUAUGCAUUGAAGCUUAUUGAUUUCAUUUUCAUUCUACAAAUAUGUAUUUUCGUGGUAAAACUUGGAGGAAUGUCCUUGUUUGAUGCUUUCAUAUGCAACUCUAUUUGGUGGUGUUGCAUAGCUUAAGAUUUAGAACCUGAAUGUGUCUUGUUUUUGUGUUUCAAAACCAAAAUGUUUUUGUAUAUCCAGGUCCUGAAGUGAUUAUAAUAUUAAUUGGAUAUUGACCAGAUAAACUUUAUCAUGGAGCCUAUUUUGGAAAAUUUCUUAUUCAAUGAUUGUUUUUGUUCAGUAGUUGUGGGAGGACUUCUCUAUAAAUUGUCACUUUUAAAUUGGAGUCAUGUACCUGACCCUUUUGUUUUGAUCAGAUUUGAGUCAAUUUCCUUGUAAUAUGUAGUCUACUUGUAUCUGAUCCGUGGACCAUGCCCCCUUAACAUGUUUACUGUUAUCACCAGCAGUAUUUACUAGUUUUCUUAAUUAGUUUGUUAAAAAUUUCCAAUGCACUGGGUAAACUAUAUAAAAAAGUUUCCAUGUUGAGGUUAUUUAAUUGGGCUAGGUCCUUCAUAUCAAAUACUUGCAUGGUAAACUUGGUUCUGAUUGCAUCAGAUUAGGAACCUAGACAAUAUAAUUAUUAUCACAAGAAGCGAGUAAUUAUCGAGAUAAACAACCAGUCUUCAGUCUUUCGAUAUUGUUGUGUAUAGAAAUGUUAGCAAAUUGCUUCUUGUUCGUUGAGUUGUAUCAUAUGUGGGAUAUUUCAGUCUAAGGCAAUAUUACAUGCCUGGCAAUAAAUAUUUAUGCUGUUAUAACCCCAAUUAUUUUGCCAAGUGAAAUUGCCUGUUAGUUUACUGUAAGAAUCAAGUCUUUAGAAUGCUGAAGCAUCUGCAGGAAUGAACUAGUCUAUGAACCCCAAUUGAAUGGGUUAUCUGGUGUAUUCUUUGAUUGGCUUGGCUAUAUUUCAUUCUAAAAACUAUUUUUGAAUAUGCUGUGCUAUGAAAAGCAUAAUCACUGAUGCUGCAUUGAUGUGCGCGUCAUUUUCUAUUUUGGUUUCUGCAUUAUUCUCAUCUUAUGUCCAAGGAUACAGGUUUUUUUUCCCUUAAAUUCUUGAUUUGCUGGUUUAUGUAGAUGGAUGAAAGGGAGAGAGAGAGGGACAGGGACAGGGACAGGGAGAAAGCCAACCUUUUGAAGGAGGAAAUGGAUGCCAAUGCUGCUGCCUCUAAGAGAAGAAAACUUAAAAGGGAGCAUCUUCCAUCAGGGGAAGCUGGUGAGUAUUCACCUGUUGCCCCUCCCUAUCCUCCCCUUGCUAUUGGUAUUUCACAGUCAUAUGAUGGAAGAGAUAGGGGAGACCGGAAGGGAGCCGCAAUGCAGCGCACAGGUUACAUGGAGGAGCAAAGUAUGAGGAUUCAUGGUAAAGAAGUAGCCACCAAGAUGGCCCGUCGUGAUUCAGAGCUGUAUCCUUAAAUUAUUAUCUGCUCCUUGGAUGCAACAUGCAUGUCAUUUAAAUAUACUAUUACCUCAUAUAUUCAUUUUUCUCCCCCCUUUUUCCAUUUCAGAAUCUCCCAUUUUAAGAAUUGCUUAGAAUCAAUUGGUCUGCUGCUCCUUGGAUGCAACAUGCAUGUCAUUUAAAUGUACUAUUAUCUCAUACAUUCAUUCUUUUUUUCCUAUUUCAGAUUCUUCCUUUUUAAGAAUUGCUUAGAAUCAGUUGGUUUGCUGCAUUUUUGCUUGUGCACUUGCUGCAUGGAGGAGGCACUUGCCUUCUUGUUUAAAGCAAAGAUUGUUUCUGCCUGUUCAUACCAUGCUUUAUGCAAUAUGGUCUGAUUGGCUCAUCCUCAAUUGAAUGUGAGCAAUUCCAAUUCAUAUUCAGAUAAUUAUCGAUGAGAAUUUUUUAGCUUAUUUAGCAUUUGAAAUGCACUUUGGCCUUACUUUCAACUUUCAAGCAAUGUUGUUCUAGAACUGGCCAGUCCUUAACCAAGAUCUAGAAUCUAUGAGCGCGAGUGGGAAGAUGAGAAGCGGCAAAGAGCUGAACAGAAGAGAAGACAUCGGAAGUAGUGUUGGAUGGAAUGAGAUUGCGUAACCUGCUUGUUUCUGCCUUUUGCCAUAAGGCUUUGGCUGUACAUUUCUUUUUCAUCCCUUGCCAGGUUGUUAGCUAUGUAUACAGAAAUGAGUAUGCAUGAACUGGGAUUACCUUUUUUUAGCCCCAUUUCCUGGUUACUCUUCGCAGCCAAUCUGUUGCCUGGCUUUUUGAUUUGCUUUCAAGUAGAUUGCAAAGCCUAAAAUGAAAAUGAAACUGAUCACAACGCCCUGUAUGAAUAUUGUAAAUUCAGCUCGUUCUCAAUCAGGUGCUUAUUUUAAAUGCUCUCUGAUAACAAAGUGAUAGAUUAAAAUCACCCAAAAUCAAAUCCAACAAUUGCUUGUACGAGCUAGCAGGUUUUAGUCCUAACAGGAUAUAAAUUAAUUUUAUUUGGAGAUGAGAGAAAUUUGACUUUCUGCUGCUUCUAUCAAUUUCUAAAUAAUUAUUCUAUUAGGUGAAUAAACAGAAUACUUAAUAGUUUAUAGAGACGUUGAGUAAGAACUGAUUCUCAGUUUAUAUAUAUAUUAGGAAAUUGAAAGCAUAAAUGUUCUGCUAAACUGAUCAGCCUUAUCACAAUCACCAUCUAAACUGUAGUUCGAGUUCCCAGUUUCUUUUGCUGCAUAGCACUCCCAGCGGACGUGUAGGAUUACUCCCAUGCAAUUCAUGAUGAUGGAUGGUUGUGCGUGUAAGUGUACCAAGGCUGAUAGAAAGGGUUGACAGCUUGUGGGUUAUGCAAUUGCAUCUUCCUUUGUGUUGCAUCUCUUUGAGCAACACUCGGGCAUGGCAUUGGCAGGUCAACAGAUGCAUCAAGAAUAUCCUCCCAGCUGUUAUCAUUUUCACUCUCUUCAAACUGAAUCAACGCUCUCUCUGACGCUAAGUCUCUUCCAAACCCAGCUUCCUCAAACUUCUCCCACUGAUAACUAAUAACCACAAUGUCCUUCUUUACUAUCUGUUUGUAGUCUCCAUCUUCUUCUGUUAAAGUUGCUGUCAAAGUUGAUGGAGAUCCUAACAACGAUGAUGGAGAUGAAGUAGAUGAUGGUGACUCAGUUAGUUGCCACAUCCCAUUAAGAAAAGUCUCCAGGGCUUGAAUAUGUAUCUGAGGAACUCGAUCAACAAAUGGAUACUCGUAUACUCCACAAAAUCCAGAUGCCUUGCACCAAUCAUAGAACUCGCAGAGCUGGUUUGCUUGCAUGGCUGCUUUCUUGUAGAUCCCGAAAGCCAGUAUGCAACUUCUAUAUGGCAUUUGAAACAGAUUUUCCAAUACCAAAACAAUUUCCCUUCUAUAAGUUGUGUAACAGAUGAAACUAUCACGAAUGAUAUGUUUCAUUGCUAUUUUCACAAUAAAGUUUCUUGCUGAAGCCCCAGAUGGCCUACAGUCCAUGACUCUGUCAAUCAAGCUUUGAAGUCGUGGCAAAACUUCAAUCAGUGUGCCAACUUCUUUCCUUUUAUCACACAAAUUUUCAGGUUCAGGCACUUCUUCUUCAUUGUAUGUUGCCUUGCUAUCCAAGGCAACGCAAUCAAGUGCUUCGUUGAGUAACUUAGCAUAUGAUCUAAUAAACUUGGUGUAAUCUUCAGGAUUCGCUGAGGAUUCAUCUCUGAAGUGACACGGAUACAAAGAAAACAAUCUGUUUGCUCUAGCCCACAGCAGCUCAGUUCGAAAAGGGCUGUUUUCAGGCAGUGAGUGAAGCAAGCGGUGAAGCAGAAGUAAACAUUUGAGCGCAACACGCCAGCAAUGAGUAUUGCCAAAACGACGGACAAAGCUUAACGCAAAUCUGUGGAAAGAAGAAGGAGAAAUGGAGAAGAUUUUCAAAAGCUCGCUGACAUAUUUUUCGGACAAGGGCAGGUCAUCCGGGGUUGUUGCCUUAAUAAUAAUAAGAUCAAUAUCACAAAAUCCUGCAGCAGUGGCAGCUUUAGCAUACCUAACACUGCUGCGUUCUUUUGCACGAGUGAAAAGUUGCCGGAGCCGCUUCUGCAUGGUGAUGAAUUAAUUAGGAGAGAUUGGUUUCAGAAUUCAGAAGGAAUGGAGAUUGCUAGAGCUCUGGGCUCUAGGGUUUUGUUAAAGGAUCUAGAGGCCUAGAAAGUAACGUUAUGAACUGUGAGCACAACGUCAUACAUUGCAAUUGAUAAGAUUAAUGUUCUUUUUUUCAAUGUUUAAAUAUAAAGACAAGAAUUGCGUCGUUGUACUGAUAACCCAAGGGCAAGGACCAAGGAAAAAUGUUCCAUUAUUUGCUGUCAUUAACCAAGAUAGAUAUGACUUAAAAAGCAUCUAUGCGUAUAUAACUCGAAACAAAAAGAUACAAAUGAAUUGAGUUUUUCAAUUUUGUAUGAAUAUGACUGACUGGCAGAAUCUGUUAUCAGUUGACUUCACAUAGUAAAAAGUGCCUAAAAUUUUAUAAUUUCUGUGAAUGAGAUAUAAAUAAAGUAAGAUGAUAGGUGGUGAAUCUAACACAGAAUUUAAGAACAAAUUUUGAUUCUAAUCAUCAUUUACUGUGAAUAAUUAUGAUGCAUGAUACGAUUAUUGUGAUACAAGUUACUGAAACCUUUGACUUAUAAACACUUCUAUAUAUAUAAAUUUUAGAUCCUGCAGUCCAUUGGAAGCAAAACUACGUCACAUGGUACAUUGAAAAGUCAUCAUCUAUCUUUCUUGACCUAUAAUAGUUGAUGAAGCCUAAUAUGAAAAUAUGUAAAGAGAAAAUUUAUAGAUAUUUGGAUCGAUAUAUGAAAUAUCAGCUUUAAUGAAGAAUAAAAUAUUCCCACCACAUAUAGAUGGGGGAAAUCUCCAACUUUCAACUCAAAAAUUGAGAUAAGGAGGUGCCAUCAUUCAACUAAAGAAAUUGAAUCAACCUGAAAUAAUUGUCAAAAAAUACCAAAUGCAAUAAGUUGUAGGAAUUUCAAUCUGAUUAUGACAACUAUUAAUUAAUAAAAUAUAUGUAGAAAGAAAACUAGAUAACACUUUCAUUAUUCCUUCACAAAGUGUCAGUCCUUUAUAAUUUUUAAUAAUACUAUGGUCUAUUUAAUUUUGUACUCGCGGUGUAUUUGGCUAGAAGAUAAAAAAAGCUUGGGAUUGGAUUUUUUUUUUUAAAAAAAACAAAAUCUAAUCCAAUAUUCCAAUCCCAUGUUUGGUGCAAAUAAAAUGAGUUAGGAUAGUUUAUCUAGGGCCAUACUCUAAUAAGGUAAAAGAAAAUGGGAUCCUUGGAAUAAUUUUGGAUAACUGCAAUUUAUUUCCACUAAAUGUCUAGAUGUUUAUGUAAAUUAAUAGAGCUGGAUUAUGUUUCAUUAUACAUAACAUACAGCAAACCCAUGAGUUGUCACCGAUGACAAAAUUGUUUCACACAUCGCAAAUUCAUAAUAUCAUAAUUAUUAAUUGAUAACUAGUUUUUUAAAUAUUAUUUAGCUAUUGUCGAGCAGCUUUUUUUUUUUUUUAAGUUCAUUUAGUUAUUAGUUAUUGUUUAGCUAAUAUUUUAAACAUUGAAUAAUGACAUUUAUAUUUAAUUGAUGACAAAGAAUACUAAUGCAUUAAUUUUGUUAAUUUGUAUCAAUAAAGAAUAAUUAAGGUCAAAUUAAUAUUUAAUUAAAUGAAAAAUACUUGUAAUAAAUAAAUCAUUUAAAUGUUUGAUCCAUGAUGCUAAAAUCACUAAUUUAUUAUUAUACAUAAUUUUUUUCAAAACUAAUUUACAUUAGUAAUAUUAUUAUUAAUUUAUUAAUAAUGAUGUAAACUAAGUAUUGUCAAAUUUUUUAUUAAAUAAUUUAGUAAGUUAAUAAAAGAAAUUUAAUAAAAGACAUUGCAUACCUGCAAGUUAGACAUUGUCAACAUUUAUUUGUUGAUGAUGUUAAAGUUUGACUAUAUAUCAUCUAAUCUUUGAAUGCAUAAAAGAUAUGUUAUACGUACGAUGAAAUUUAUAAACGACGUGUUAUUUCAUAAAAUUUAAAUGAAAUUUUUAUUUAUUAAUUGACUAUUACGAAUAACAUACUUUAAAAUAUCUAAUAAUUAUCAAAUUUAUAUUUAAUUUUCUUUCUAAUUUAUGUCUAAUUAUAUAUUGUGUAAAGGACAUGAUAGUACCAAAUUUCAUUAUAUUAUUAUUACCUCAAUUUUACAUAAGAGAAAUGUCCUUGGGUGUAAUUUCCCUCGUCAAGGUUAUUUCAGACAAAGCCAUUUUCGGAGAUCCUGCCCACUAAGCAAAACUUUCGCACCCCAAAAUUGUGUCCUGCAGCAGCUCCAACUGUCCAAUUUGAUGUGAUCAAAAGCAAGCCACCCUUUGAUUAAAGAGUGAAACGAGACUUGUUCAGUAUAAUCCCAUCCUAUCUUAUUAAAUCUAAUCUAAUCAAAAUAUUAUUUUGCCCUAUUAUUAAUGUAGUCAUUUGGGUCAUUUUCAUCAAGUUUUGGAAAGCUUAAUUUUAGAAAUGGCAAGGAACUUGUCAACCUAAUUGAAGAGAUGGAUGUUAUUUGCCGAAUGCCAGCGGACUUGAUACGCUUGGGUGGUGCUCUACUCUUCUAAGACGUAGUCUUAACUUCUCGAAACAAUGGCCUGUGGAACCAUGGAAGUUGGGACCCUUGAUUUGGUCCUCAUUUGAGACAAUGAAAUGAAUCAUUAUAGAUUUCAAGUAAUAGAUUAAAUUCGUUGGUUUGUAUGCAUAAAAUAUAUUGAUAAUAAUCGAAUAAAUCAUUACUUGAUUUCAAAUCCGAUCAUUAUCCUAUAGAUUUCCUUCGAAAACAGUUGACUAAGACUGGAAACAUUCAUUAGCAAGAUGAUAAAUUAUGGGGCCCUAUAAAUUGAUGUCAAUUUGUUCCCAGCGACAUUCAAGUGGUUUUAAUACAUCAAUUAAUGUUCUUGCCGUAUCCAACAAUCAAGCAGUUCUUAUUGUUGUUGAACAAGUAGUAGAGAAGAGUAGUAGUCCAAGUCCCAAGAAAAUGUUUAGGCACCGCAACAUGAUGGAAUUCUCUGAGUAUAUUGAUUACUUAAUUGAGUGAUAUUAAAUGAUAAAAAAUUAUUUUUACAACCAGUUGUCGAGAAAUUGAUGUAUUAUUCAAAUAUGAUUGGCUAGAAAUAUAAAAUUUUAAAGUAAGAAUAACAAGUUCAAAUAUAAAAUUUGGAGAAAAAUUUGAGUGGGUAGCUUGAUAAAGUAGGGCGUACGCUUAUUAAGGACAUACCAUCUAACAGGCCUGAUGGAUUCUACGAAUUAAAUACAAUAUGAAUAAUAUUUAAAAUUUAAAAUUUAUGAAUUUUAUCAUAUGAUAGACAGAUUUUUAGUCGGUGGGCGUACCACCUCACCUAACUAAGUAGGAGUGUCUGCCCCACACAAGUUUCUCUUUAAUAUUUGUUAGGAAAUAAUACAAAUUUUUUAUUAGUAUUAGAUAAGAAAAUGGAGAAUUUGUGAUUGCCUCGCUAAUUCAACCGGACAAAUUACCACAAUUGAUUUACAUUUACUAGUUACAAGCAAAAAGAAUGGUGGUAUGUUUGGUCCAAGUAGAAAAGUCAUCUCUAUGCAUUCUGUUUUAGUUUUACAAUAAAGAAAUCAAGAGUUAAAAGUCAUUACUGUUGACAAGUUAACCUUGAAAUGUAAGAAACUUCAAAAUCUUCAGUAUUCUCUACAAAAUUUAUAAUGAUUGUUAUACCCAUAUUUAUACUAAAUCCGAGCUCAAGGACUCAUAUGAAAUAACAUGUUAUAAUCUAAAUAGGAUAAAACAACACAAGUCUUAAAUCCUUGGCAAACUCGAUUCCUAUAAAAUAAGUGAUUAAUUUAUCUAAUUCUACUUCUGAUUAUUUUCUCUUAUAUAAAGAGGUCACUACUUGAAAGUACAUAUAUUAAAUAUAGGGCAUGAAAAAUAAGCAUAUUGGAGGAGGAUGUACAAUAUCCUCAAAGUCCUUUCUCUUACUCUAUUUCCUCAUUUUUAUUAUUUAUUUGUUAUCAUGUUACUUUUGAUCUUCAACUUAAACUUCAAAGGGUUUAUGCCAAUAACACUCCUAACGAUCUCUGAUUGGUUAUUAUUUUCCACAAUUCCGACCACUGAGUUUUUUAUUUCGAGAACAUCAAACUCUCUUACAACUCAUUCCUAAGGUAAAAAAACUCUCUCUCAACUCUUAUUGCUGAGUUAAAUUUUGGUAUCAACAAUGAUAAUAUUAAUUUAUUGUUGUUAUUAUUACUAUUGUUAUUAUAUAUAAGAACUAGAACAUAAUUGUCUUUUCUUGCUUUGCUUCUUAGCAAGGGCAGGGUCUGAUUCAUCAUGGCUUUCAAAUGAACCCCACCGCCCCAAGUAGGCCUUAAACCACCUUGACAGAAGAAAGAAGAAAAACCAGAGCUAUCAAGAGUCAACGGUCAUGCGUCCACAACGAGGCAAGCGACAGCCGCCAUUUAAACACUAACACCGUCCUCCGUCAUUCACACUACCAAAUACACGAACAAGAAAACCCCACCCCCAAGAAGCCAAAACCAUGUCCCUGUUCUUCUUCUUCUUCUUCUUCAUCUUCGUCCUCUCACCAUCACCAUCCCUACAACAACAGCAAAAGCCUCAAUACAUGUCAUCCUUCUCCUCAUCAGACUCCCCGUGGCGUCCAAACCAAAAUAGAAUCCUCCUCUCUCCCAACUCCACCUUCGCCGCCGGGUUUCUACCAAAACCAAAUUCUCGGAAUCUCUUUACCUUCUCUGUUUGGUACUAUAACUUGUCGGAACCCACCACCACCGUCAUCUGGUCUGCUAAUGACAAAUUGCCUGUCGCCGGUAACGGUUCUUUAGUCAUUGCCGCCACCACAGGCCAGCUCCGACUACUCAACUCUUCCAACUCAAACUUGUGGCCAAAUCCUAAAACAGCAACCGGCCAUCCAAACUCUACCAGGCUCUUCCUUCAGGAUGCUGGGAAUCUCGUUUAUGGAAACUGGCAGAGUUUUAAUCUACCAACAGAUACAAUCUUGCCUAAUCAGACCCUAAAUGGGCCCCCGCUGGUCUGCAAGAACGGCAAGUUCAGCUUCUUGAACGCUUCAGAGCUGGUGUUUGUAUCAGCUAAUCACAGUUACUGGAAGAGUGAGCACGCGUUUCAACAGCUUGACUAUUCCGGGAAAUUGCUUCAAGCAAACCAAGAUUCACUAACCGCAUCAGAUUUGGGUGAGACCCGGUUACGAAGAUUGACAAUUGAUGAUGACGGGAACCUGAGAAUUUACAGCUACGAUGAUAAUGGUGAUCGUUGGACAGUUGUUUGGCAAGCCGUGCAAGAAAUAUGCACAAUUCCAGACCUAUGCGGUGAGAAUGCUAUCUGCAUAAGCGAUGGCUUAAGUCGUUCGACAUCGUGCGUUUGUCCACCGGGGUUCAAGAACAGCACCCGCCAGGAUAAAUCUUGUCAAAGAAAAAUUGAGCUAAAAAAUCUUAGAAACACCAAGUUUCUCCAGCUUGAUUAUGUUAAUUUCUCCAGAGGGAACUUGUCGGAUCUAGAAGCUGACAAUUUCUCUGCCUGCAAAGCCAAUUGCUCAGCCAACCCAAAAUGCGUCGCAUUUGGAUUCAAGUACGACGGCAAACGCUAUUGUGUCCUCGUGGACCAGCUUCUGUACGGGUAUUGGUCACCUGGCACGGAAAUGGCAACGUUUUUGCGAGUCGACGCGUCAGAAAAUGACGUGUCAAACUUCACGGGCAUGACCAAUCUGUUGGUCACCACGUGUCCUGUGAAUAUCAGCCUCCCUUUGCCGCCUGAUGAAUCUAGUACGACGGCCAGAAACAUAGCCAUAAUAGUCACACUUUUUGCUGCCGAGUUGAUUUCCGGGGCCUGGUUUUUCUGGGCGUUUUUGAAGAAAUACAUAAAAUACAGAGACAUGGCUCGCACUCUUGGCCUUGAACUGCUGCCCGCCGGUGGGCCUAAACGGUUCACGCACGCCGAGCUCAGAGCAGCAACAAAUGGGUUCUCAAAUCUCAUUGGAAGAGGUGGGUUUGGUGAUGUUUAUAAAGGAGAGCUGACAGAUCAUCGUGUUGUUGCAGUUAAGUGCUUGAAAAAUGUCACCGGUGGAGACGCUGAGUUUUGGGCCGAGGUCACAAUCAUUGCCCGGAUGCAUCACCUCAAUUUGGUCAGACUUUGGGGCUUUUGUGCUGAAAAAGGUGAAAGAACUUUAGUUUAUGAGUACGUCACUAACGGUUCUCUUGCUGAUUACCUCUUCCGGUCGGGUCGGGUCGGGUCAUCAAGUACCGCCAGGGAGAUGGAGAUGUCCGGAGUGGGUCCGCAUGAUGGCGGAAAGCCCGUUUUGGAUUGGAGUAUCCGGUACCGGAUUGCCCUCGGGGUGGCAAGAGCCAUUGCAUAUCUACACGAAGAGUGUUUGGAGUGGGUUUUGCAUUGUGAUAUCAAGCCGGAGAAUAUACUUUUGGGCGACGAUUUUUGCCCGAAGAUAUCCGAUUUCGGGCUGGCGAAAUUGAGGAAAAAAGAGGAUAUGGUAAGCAUGUCUCGGAUCCGUGGGACCCGCGGGUACAUGGCGCCCGAAUGGCUUCGAUCGGAUCAGAUUACCCCAAAGGCUGAUGUUUACAGUUUCGGUAUGGUGCUGUUAGAAAUUGUAAGUGGGUCUAGGAAUUUUGAAAUUCAAGGGUCCAUGAUGAACAGCGAGGAGUGGUAUUUUCCCAAAUGGGCUUUCGAGAAGGUAUACGAAGAGAUGAAAGUGGAAGACAUUCUGGACCGCCACAUUAAGAAUUCCUACGAUAGCCGGGUGCAUUUUGAUAUGGUGAAUCGCAUGGUGAAGACGGCAAUGUGGUGCAUUCAAGAUCGGCCGGAGAUGAGGCCAUCAAUGGGCAAGGCUGCUAAGAUGUUGGAAGGAACGGUGGAGAUUACAGAACCUAAAAAGCCCACCAUCUACUUCUUAGGAGACGUGUAAGAUUCUUCUUAAUGUAAAUUACGUUUCUAUCGUUAGUAGUUGAUUUCUAUCUAGUGAUAUUCAAAUGUUGGUGGAGUUCCAAUGCGUAUCCACCGCAUGCAACUAUAAAUCAAUUGGAAUGAAACGAGAGCUCCAAGUGGUUGAUUUCUUAUGGUUUUAUUAUUAUUAUUAUUUAAUGUUGCUACACAUUGAAAAUCGAGAUACAAAAAGCAAUAGAGCACCUACCAACGAUUGUGAUUUGUUAUAAAGCAUGCAGUUAUUAUUAACUUUCUUCAAAAGGAAAAAAAAAAUUGGGUUAUUUAUCGUCAGUCCUCACAUGUUUUGACAAUUAGCGUUGCGCACUCACAAGUAUGUUAUCGAAACAAUUGGGGGCCGAUGCUAAAUUACCUUAAAAUUUUUUAUAGUAUGUUAUUAAUGAGAAAAUAUUAAUGUAUGUAGUAAUGAGUCAUACGAUACAGAGUAUUGAAUCUGAUUCAAAUUAAUUAAGAAUGGAAUUCUGCAGGAAUAUUUCCGCGCCAAUUUAGAAUCUUCACUCCAUUAUCCACUGAACGAACACGAAAUCCUUAUAAAGAACUGUCAACUAAUUAAUAUAAUUUGCUCAGACAAUAAUUUCUUAGCCAGUUUACUUUUGUGCAAGAGUUUUUAGAAAUAAACUGAAUUAUAAAUUCUUAAUUAAUAAAAAAUAUGUUUUUUAAUGUAAAUAUAUAAAAAUUAAAUGUUAUUUUUAAAAACAUAAAUUAAAAAAUUUUAAAAAAUAAAACUAAUAAAAUUUAAAACUUUAAACAUUAACCAAUAAAAUUCUAGAUAACGUUCGAAUAGAAACUGAUAUUAUCGUAUUUCGAGAGUCGAGAUACAAAAAUUUUGGCAGAGCAGGCAGACUCGGCAGAAUAUGCAACAUGGGAAAUUUGGAGAGAGUAUUGCGUAAACGUGUCAGCAGGUAAUUGGUCGCACUUCGUGGCAAGCAAUCGAAAAAACACAACAAAACCAUCGCUUUCACUUGGUUUACCAAAUUAAAAAAAAAAACAAGUUAACCUCGUCUCGUCGUCGUCGUCUACUGGUCUCUUCCAAAUUUACCAUUUUUGUUACAGAGCAAUGGGCUUGAGAUCCUCUGGAAGAAAGCUCUCGUUCGAUAUUCUAAGCGAAGCCGCCUCAGUCGAAGAUGCCGCUGAUUCCCGCCUCUUCCGCCGUUCCAAUUCGCUCCCUACGCACCGCCACACCGAAGUUUCGAUGCCGAAAAAUCGGAAGCGAAAGAAGCACAAGAAGAAGAAGCAGUCCUCGCCGGAUUUCGCCGUGAUCUCCGAAGAUCCGGUCUCCGAUUCCAAUGCGGAAAGCGCCGGGAGUGGAGUUGUCUUCGGAAACAGAAGCGACGCGAAUUGCCAGAGCUACGUGGCGAGUGCGUGCGCAAGUAGUACUAUUACAGUCGCGGCGGCUGAGAAUGGUUAUAAUAAUAUUAUUAAUAAUGGUGGAGAGUUGAGGCAGAGGAAUGUGGCCGGGAACGACGAGGCGGAGUCGCGGGAAGAGGAGAUUUCGGUGGAGAAGCAACAACAGCGGAGUAGUGAGGCCAACGGGAGUGUAGUUACCAAGUUGGAAACGGCGGAGUCGUUGGAUUGGAAGCGGCUCAUGGCCGAGGAUCCUAAUUGUAAGUAAACAAAAAUGCACUCGCUCUUUCCAUUUAUAUUUUUGGAUUACUUAUAUUGGUAAUUUACAAGAUUCGGUUUCAUAUUGAUGCAUUAAUUGAGUAAAAUUUGUCAAUACUUAUACCUUGGUGAAUUGAAUUACCGGUUGUUCCAGCUUUCAGCUUGCCAUAAGAUCGGAGAAAAUAAUUUGGUGAUGUGUGCUAAAAUUGAUGAUUAUUGGGGUUACUUGAAUGAACAUAUUUGCAAGAUUUUAGAGGCAACAGUAGCUUGUAAUUAAACACAUACGAGGGUGAUUACGGCGGAUUGAAUAAGACCGAUGGCUUUAGAAUAAAUUGGAUUGAUGAAACCAAGUAUUUUAUUUGUCAGAGACUUGUGAUGACUUGGAAAGGUUGCAACAAACGAUUGGAUUCGUGUAUUUCAAACAAAUUUAAUUGAUACGAGCUAGGUUUUAUUUCAUUUCUUUUUCCUUUUUUUGUAUAUUUUCAUAAAUAUGAGACUAAUAAUAUCAUUUCGCAUUUUUGUAGUCGCCUUUCAUGAAAUUAUGGUGUCUUUAUGAUAUUGGAUGUACUAGAAAAGUUAAAGUUUCUGUACUGGAAAAUGGUUAUGGUGGUUCUAUAAAGGUAAAUAUGGUGCUAGUACAUCACUGAUUAUGGGAUGAUGAUAGGAUAUCUGUUACAUGCAUCAUCAUCUGAUAUUUCUCUGCUUGUUUAUCCCCUCUGAUUUUGGUGUUAUAUCUUUCUGUCAGAUAUGUAUCCUGUUGAAACAUCGCCAUUGAAGUAUUUCAUGGAAGAAAUGUACACUGGAAAUUCUUUGCAGAGCACAACAACCCUUGGUGAUGAGAAAGAACGGCAAAGAGUGUAUGAUACUAUUUUCCGCUUGCCAUGGAGAUGUGAGCUGGUAAUUUUGGUUUUCCUUAUAUAACUUCAUAUGAAAAUUGAAAAAGACUGCCUGAAUUCUGAAAAUUUUCAUAUCGCUUAUUAAGAAAAAGAUAGUAUGGCAUAUGGAUAACUACUUUUUAUCAUUGUGGUUAAGAUUCUAAAAUGCAACAUUUUUGUUUUCAGCUCAUUGAUGUUGGAUUCUUUGUCUGCUUUGAUUCAUUUCUGUCAUUGUUAACCAUUAUGCCAACAAGAAUACUGUUGACUCUUUGGAGGCUUCUACAUACCAGGUUAGUUACAUUGUUCAUAUAGAUAUAAAUAUCAUUUUUUUCUAAUUUAAAUCUGAAUGCUACAUCUUAGUCAACACUUCAUUAGUUUAGCAUAAUUGCAUUUAUAUAUUUUUAUCUUUCCAGUGUCUUCUGAAAUGGCUGAAUAAGGAAAUUCUGUGCUAUUAUUGUAAAUAUUUGGAAAUGGUCACACAGUCCAGUGAACAUUUUCUUUGAGACAAGACUUCCAGUUUGGAUCCUUUGGAUAAAGAUUUUGCAUAUAAGAGUCGAUCAUUAGAGAUGUUUCUAGAUUUGAUUUUCAUGUUGUUGUUGUGGGGUCCUGAUUGCUAAUUUUUAGUUCUGAAGUAUAUAGAAAAAUAUAAUUGGUCGUAUAUUCUGUUUUUACAGAAUAUUUUGGCUGUCUAAUCCAACCUUGUGUUUUAUGCUAAAAUAUUUACAGAAUAACCUAACCAUGCUUGUGGCAGGCAGUUCAUUAGGCCUUCUGCAGCUGAGCUUUGUGAUUUUGCUUGCUUUGUGGUGCUGGCUUGUGCAGUCACCCUCUUGGAAGGAACAGGUGUAGUAAGAAUUGUUGCUCUGUCCAUAUUCUGAUGCUCUUCUGUUUUUGUUUAUUUGUUUAUUUUGUUUCCCUUGUCACACAUUAAAUUAACUUGCAUGACACUUGGCCCUGCCAUUAGUCUGUUUUUAUUUGCUCAACCAUCGGUUUUAGUUUUCCGUAUAUUUAGUUGAUUAAACUUCAAGAAGAUAAAUUUUCUCUUCUAUGUAUUCUCCGAUUUAUCUGUCUCUUCUCGUUCAAAAAUUACAAAGCAGAGGAAUUAAGAAGAGUUGACAUAUUAAAGUAAACAACAAUUGAAAUCAGUUUUUUCUCCUAUGAAUUCUCCAAUUUAUCUGUCUCUUCUAGUUCAGAAGUUAUAAAGCAGGGGAAUUAAGAGAGUUCUUGACAUAUUUAAGUAAACAGCAAUUAAGGGUUUAAGUUUAAAACUAUUUGAACCAUUCACCACCAUUAAUCCAGUUAAUGCAAUAGGGGCUCAAAGUCAAGUUGAAAAAAGUUUGUUUAUUUUUAUUAUGUACUUUGCUAAACUUCAAGUGUUGUUAUAUAAUUUACUCUAUUAGACAUGUCUACUAAAAUCAAAAGUCAUAACUGUUUCAGAUGCAUAAUUAUGGCAUCCACCAACUAGUUUAACCCGGAUGUUAAUAGUACUAUCUUCUGUGCAAAUUCUUAAUGUUUCUUUUUGUUCCUGCAGAUAUCAGCUUAAUCUAUCACAUGAUUCGUGGCCAAGGAACUAUUAAACUUUAUGUGGUGUACAAUGUAUUGGAGGUGAGAGAAUUAAUUUAAUGAACUUUGCAUUUUCUUGUCUAUUGAAUAUGAAAAUUUUUGGUUGAAAACAAUCUAUUCCUUAACUGAAAAUCUUCAAUCAGAUAAAUUGUUUUUAAUAAUUCAUGGCCAAAUGGUGAAAAUAUAUAUAUGAGCAAGAGAUUGUGGUUUCAUAUUUGAUAGUAUAUUUGCCUUAUAUAUAUUUUUUCCUUUCGUCUGAAAUAUUGUUGUCUGCUAGAAUAAAAAAGUGCACAAACUUAUAUAAGAAAAGAAAAGAAAGAUUCUGGUCGUAUAUUAUGUUCUAAGGAGAUUGAAAUUAACAUGAAAGAGUGACAUAUAAUAGUGUUGACGCCAAGAGUUUCAGCAACCUCGAGAGAUGAUUAAUUUCUUUGAGAAUUUUAAUUAACUUACUUCAGGAAGGGGGUUCAUAAGAAGUUUUGCUGUUAUUUUGAUUAGGAGCAAUAAAAAAAGAAACUAAAAUUUGCCUGAUUAAUUUUCUUAUCUGAGUGAGAAAAAGAGGGGAACAGGGAGAGAUGGCUUUGAUGUUAAUGUCAUUGGAAGGUUUGUAGCCGUGGCAAGAUCAAGGAGUGCUUAUCAUGGUUUGAUUUGGAAGAAUUAAUUAAUAGUUGUACAGCUCAUAAUCUAUGAUAAACCAUGCAUUGACGUUAUUCUAUCAUAUUCUGUGGGUCAGCUGAUUUCAUCUCUAAUUAUUUUGCUGAAAGUUGUGAAAUGAAAUUUUUUCCCCCUUCUCUUUUCAGAUAUUUGAUAAACUAUGCCAAAGCUUUGGAGGAGAUGUAUUGCAAACACUGUUUAAUUCUGCUGAAGGGCUUGCAAAUUGUACAGAAGAAAACAUGAGAUUCUGGAUUUGGAGAUUCAUUUCUGACCAAGCAUUAGCAAUGGCCGCUACAAAUAUCCUUAUUGUUUCGACUUUUUUCCUUAUGCUGCAUGCAAAUUUUAUUAUCCCUGUUGGCUCCUUGACACUUCUUACUUGCUCAUUCUUUCAUUUUAUUAGCUCAGGCAAUUACUUUAUCAACUUGUAUUGUUGCUCACAAUAAUGCCCUGCUUGCUUUGCUGGUAUCCAACAAUUUUGCCGAGAUAAAAAGUAAUGUAUUCAAACGAUUUAGCAAGGACAACAUUCACAGUCUGGUGUAUGCUGGUAAGUUUACCUCUUUGCAUUUGUUCUUGGACCUUUCUACAUCACUGAUGAUUUUGUUAUGUGUUCUGUUGUGUAUCUAUUGCUUAAGGUAUUGUCCUAUGGAUUUUGGUGGUUUACAUGGUUUCCUCUGAAGUUUUGUUGUGCACUGCUUAUGAACAGAUUCAAUUGAGAGAUUCCACAUUUCGGCGUUUCUGUUAUUCGUUUUAGCUCAAAACAUUCUGGAGGCUGAGGGUCCUUGGUUUGAAAGUUUCCUUUUUGUAAGUUCACCUGAAAAUAUCUAGCCACUCUAUACUUUUAAGGGGAAAGUUGCAGUCUUUGUUUGGUUUUCUUAUAUGUUUUUAUGUGUACUCUACAGAAUGCUCUCUUGGUUUUUGUAUGUGAAAUGUUAAUAGACAUCAUAAAGCAUUCAUUCCUUGCCAAAUUCAAUGACAUAAAGCCCAUUGCAUACUCUGAAUUUCUGGAGGACCUAUGCAAGCAGGUAUGUGCUAUAUUGUUAUCACCAUUUGUCUAUUUCUUAAUUUGAUAUUUCCUUUGGAUACUUAGUUUAUGUCAAAGAAACCUUUUAUUUUUCUCGCAGACUUUGAAUAUGCAAACUGAGAAUGGGAAGAAGAACCUCACAUUUGUUCCUUUGGCUCCAGCUUGUGUUGUAAGCACCAAUGACUGUUCAAUAAUAUAUAUAGAGUGAGCUUCCAGUCAGGGAAUACUGACUAUAUUAAAGUCAAGAAUAAGUUAAAAGACAAAGAAUUCAAUAUACUGAUGAAAUACACUGCAUUGAAAUCUGUAUUAUUUUAACUCAUUUCUAACUUUAAUAUGGUUAGGAAACAUGGAUCCUUGAUUGGAAUAUUAUUAUUAUUAUUAUUAUUAUUAUUGGUUUGUUGUUUUAGAAGUAAAUAUAUAUUUUUCUUUUUCUUGGAUUUUAGGUUAUCCGAGUGUUGACUCCAGUUUUUGCUGCUCGCCUUCCCUGCACUCCUCUUCCAUGGAGGCUGUUCUGGAUUCUUCUUUUGUCUGCCAUGACUUAUGUCAUGCUUGCCAGUCUCAAGGUGAUGAUUGGCAUGGGUCUACAGAGACAUGCCACUUGGUAUGUCAAAAGGUGCCAGAAGAGAAAACACCACCUUCAUUUCGAUUAACUUGUGAAGAGUUUGCUGCAAACGUAUAGCUCAGUUUGCUCAAUGGCCAGAGUCUUGCACAGAAACUAUACAUGAUUUACAGAGAAACCUAUUUGGUAUGCCAUAUUGGAUGAUCAGCAGUGGCCAUAAAACUAGGGCUGCCUGUAUAUUCCGAUUGCUCAAUUUCACUUUUACUUCCUCCAAUUUUGAUACAGAGAACAGUUCCUUCAAUGCCAAGCACAUAGUGUAUACAAAGAGUAUCAAGGAAAAUUUCUGAUACAGUUGAAUAUGUUUUGAAGCCUAGAUAUGAGAAAGAGCUAGCUGCUGUAAUGCCUUCUUUUUCUGCUGGUUUACUCCAUUAAAAUCCACAUUCAUCUGGGUUUCAGAUCAAAUCCACUGAGAAGCACUAGAGUCUGAUCCAUUAAUCGGCGCUCGUUGAUGGUUCGAUCGUUUUUUUUUUAAAUAUUAAUAAUGAAUACUAAACAAAAAUGUUGCAAAUAAUAAUAAUCAUCAUCAUCAUCAAACUGAUUAACAGCUUUGUAGAGAAGCUUGCCAAUUUCAAACAUAUUGCACAAGUAAAGAAGUAAGAUUUGAAAGGACGAAAGAAGCCGUAAUUUGUGAUUAGAUAAUUAAGCGAUUGAGGAAAACGGUUUGCAACAGCUAAAUAAGAAAAAUUGAAAAGACAGGAAAAGGGAAAUCACUAGAUUUCAGUUAAGGAUGACACGCCAUGAAUCCCCCAAUGUUUAGUAGAAAUCUUUUUAUGCUAUUCACAUUUUUUAAAUUUAUUUAUUUAUUUUUUAUUUAUUUAUUUUUUUUUUUUGGGGAAUGCUAUUCACACUAUGAGUGAAUCCAGGUGUUCCCAUUUUAAAAAAACUUUACACCGCCACCAGAAGCCAAAAGGCAAUGCUAUCCCUGCUUCAAAAUUCAAACAAAGCUGCAAAGCUGUUUUCCUACCAUCAGACAAAAAGGAUUGUUUAGACAUUUACUGGCCUUGAUUAACGGUAUGCCUUUUUGAGGCUCUUGAGUCGCUAUAUUAAAAAGAAGACGAUAGUGGAGAAAUUUGAGGCUUGAGGCCAAAGAAAAAAACCCACCAUCUCCAUCGGUCAAACCUUGCAAAUUGUGUAUCUGUAUAUGAAAAUGAAAUCUUUUUGUGUUGCUAAUCACUGAAAUAGUUUGUCAAGUUAACUAAUUAUUAGCUAUUAAAGAUUUUUAUUAAUUUAGAGAUAAAUUUAAUAUUUAGAUAUUUUUCAGUGUACACAAAAAAAUAUUAUGUAUAAGAGAAGAAAAUUUUAAUAGGACCAAUAUAUCAGACAAUCUUAAUUAUAACUUAUUUUUUCAAUCUUAAAAAUGUACAGGAUAGUGGAGAAAAAUUCAUGCUCAAAUUAAACAGUUUUCUACAGAACAUUAUCACAUAUAUGUUUAUCACAUACAUCUUUCUAGCAUGAUGAUGAUAUGAGAGUGUGGAGAGAAUAAUUUCGAAGAUGAAGUAAUAACUUUAAAAGAACAUAUAUGAUAAUGGUUCAUUAGACAUUUGUGACAAUGUGUCAAUUGUUCGAUAAUCAUAUAUGUGCAAUGUGUCAAUAGAUGUGCGUACUAUUUAAUUAUACCUACUUGAAAUGUUCAUCUUACUAGAGAUCUUUUUUCAUAUAUAUCCUUUAUAAAAUACUUUUUAUGUUAAGACUUUUCAUUGGAAUAUUAUCAUUUUAUCACCUAAUUUUUUUUAUUUAUCACUUUACCACCACAUUUUGUGACAAUUACUUUUUCUCACUUAAUAUUUCAACUUUUAUCAUUUUACCACAAACCAUUACAGUCAAUAGAAUUCUUAAUAGAAAUUAUAGUAAAAGUCUAUUUCACCUUAAAUUAUGCAAGUGUAAUUUAACCCUCUAAAUUGGAAAAAAAAAUAUAAAAAUUAAUUACGUACAAAGAAAUAAUACUUUUAUCAAUUUAAUUAUUUUAUAUAUAUAUAUAUAUAUAUAUUAAUUAAUAAAAUUAUAAAUAUUAUACCUUGUGUGAAAUUCGUAAAAUACUGAAUAUACUGAAAUUCUUAAAAUACUACUUCGACAUCAAUAAUUUAUUAAUAGAGUUAACAAUCAAGUGGUAAAAUAACAUAUUCAUAAUACCUUAUAAUAAUUAAUCACUUGCUUCAAGUAAAUUCUGAUUCAAUACUGAUAAUAUUAUGUAAAAGCAAAACAACUAUUGAAGAUUCAAUCAGCAGCAUAUAAUGAUUACAUAUGCAUGGUUGACCAUUCCUUUAUGAACCCACAAGAAAAUCUUAUGGCCUCCACGCCCCCAACUUGCAAUCUUGCAUUAUUAUCGGUCAAAAAAAUAUAUUAAAAUUAAUAAUUAUUGUAGAUUUUUUUACCUCAGCGGGAUUUUUUUUUUUAAUCAUAAAACAGGAAAAAAAGAUAAAAAGAUAAAAAUUAUAUGUAUUAACCUUCCCGCCCACAGUAGAACACUGGACUCGAUUGGACACUUCUCCUAUUAUAAAGUGCAACUUCACUGCUUUAAUUAAAAAUUUUCUCUUUCCAUUUUGAUCUAUUAAUUUUAUAUGAAUCAUAAUUAUACAUUCCUAAUCUCUUAAAUCUUACCAUAAUAUUCAUGCUUCUCUUUAUUUCCACAAUUCACAAACAACCCCACUUGCAAAUUUCUUCCUCUUCUCCCAUUCUUAGUCUUUUGCAUUGAUAUUCGUGGAAAUACAAACAACCCCAUCAGAAAACCAAUUACAAAUGGUACGAAUUCCUAUUAAUUUCUCUCAAAUUAUAUAUAUAUGGUUGCAUUUUGCAAUGAGAUUUUUCGAAUGACUUUCGAUUGGAUUGAAUUUGAUCAGUUUCAAGUUGUGCAAUUUGAUCAACUAUUAUAAAAUUUGAUAUGGAAGUUUUGUUUUUGUUGUCGUUGUCGUCUCAUGUUGGGCAGGUGGGAUGCAGAUUGAUAAUCAAGAAGGAGAAGGCAAGUGAUUGGCUCACAACGCUGCUGAAAAGCCAAUUCUUUGGUCCAUGUAUGGACCAUCUGGAACUGAAGAAGAAUGAGAAGAACGUGUUCUGUAUGGACUGCAAUAUUGGAUUCUGUAGGAAUUGUGAGGACAAUCACAGCCGCCACCGCCGCCUUCAGAUCUGCAAAUACGUUUACCAAGACGUCGUUCGUUUCCAAGACAUGCAAAAACACCUUGACUGCUCCAAAAUUCAGGUAUCUUUAUUAAUUAUUCAUUCAUUUAGUUACUAAACCAUCUUGAAUUAAUUAUGCUUUAAUGCUCUGUUUUCCGGCUGUUUUUGGCUAUAAUUUUGCGUAUACGAUAUUUUGCCAAUUGGUUCAGAAUCUGUGAAGUUUAUCGAUAGAUUCAUAGAUUUUGCUCCCUUUUCUAGUUUUUCCAAUUUGAAAUUUAUUGAAUGAUUUUAAUUUUACAAUCUCUACUGCUACUUCUGUAUCCUAUUUUAAUUUUUUUUCCCCCUUUUUGGGGUGAGUAUUGAGUUGGGCUAAUUGAUCUCAGAGUUUUGGUUCUAUGGUUUUCCUUUGUUUCUUUGUUUCUUUCUUUUUUUUUGAUUUUGUAGACAUAUAAAAUCAAUGGUGAAAAAGCUGUGCAUUUGAAUCCUCGGCCUCAGUUGAAAGAUGCAAAGCCAUCAACAAAAUCAAAGACUGGCGGUUCUUGUGAAGCUUGCGGAAGAUACAUUCAAGAGUUGCCGAAUCGCUUCUGCUCCAUUGCAUGCAAGGUUUCAUUUAUUUCACUACUUUCUUGAUUAGUAGUACUAAUAUUCAUGUGUGUGUGUGUGUGUGUUAAUUGUAUUGUUGAUAUCAUCAUUUUCAGCUCUGUGUUGUUCCACUGAGCCCCAAAGACCAAAUCCAGAAUGGCAUUAAUAUCACAUUCCCAGUUGAGAAAAUCUGGAAUCAAGAAUCAAGCACAAGCGAGAAGGAAUCGUCCCUGACGCAGAACGAUGCGGCGUCCGACGAUAAUCGAUCCGGCGAGAAUCCGGGGUUGAGGCCAAGAACAAAUAUAAGCAAAAGAAAAGGCAUCCCCCGCAGAGCUCAUCUCAUCAGUUAAACAUGAAAAUUUCCUCCUCAAAUUCUUUUUACAUCCAUUACAUUUUGGUUUCUGGCUCCGCACGACUCAGAUUAGAAAAAACCAAUAUCAGAACCACAUCUACAAUAAUCUAGAAGAAAGAAAAGUGAUGUAUCUAAGUAAUAAUGUGAUCGCUAUUAAUGCUUGGAGCAUUCAUUUUUUGUACAGUAAAAGAGAAGAUCUUGGUAUGAUGAUUUUGUUUAUCUUUUGAUGGAAUUUUGUUAUCAUUUGUUGAAUUAAUCAAAUACUGGUACCCAUCAUAUAUAAUAAAACUUUAAUGUAUUUUCUUUAAUUGUGGGAUUUGAUUGAUUACGUAUUGGGAUGGGGGCCAUAUUCUUGAUGGGAAUGUUUCGCAAUGCGUUAACAUGGGGUUUGGUAAAAUUGAUUUGUAAUUUUGCUUUAAUUUUCUAAUCCGUUGGCCGUCAAAAGCUUUGAUAGAUUUGUCGCAAUCUCUGUUCAAUUCAUGUGGCGUCAAAACUUGUUGGUCGUUCAAUUUUUUUGGGCCCUCAUUCUCCUUACAUUAUGGCAUAAUUGUAUUGUUUAAGUCUGUUUUUUUAUGGGAAUGUGGCAGACAAAAAGAGCCACCAAAAGAUGGUGAGCAAAUAGGAAAUUUAUGUGCAUGUUACACAUGGUCUUGGAUUACCAUCCACACUUCUUUUCUUUUUCUGCUUAUUCUUAUGCUCGAGGCAUAAAAUCCAUAACUCUAUGCUGCCUGACAUUUUGAAACUUUUUUUUUUAAAUUUUUUAGUGCAUGCCCUAGAUGAAAGAGAUGAUGCAGUAAUUUUAAUGGAUGAAAGAGAUGAUACAAUAAUUUUUAAGGGCGUGGUCGAGUGACUUUCAAUAUGUUUUUCUUAUAAAAAUGAAUCUACUCUAAUUCAUUACAAUCAUGAAACACAUUGUCGAUAGCUUUGAAUUUCUUUCGUAUAUGUGAAUGAUGAAGAGAUUUAGACUAAAUUAAUUGAUUUAAAUGGAUAAAAAUUUUAGAUCAUUUUGAUUAUGAAAAAGAGUUGGAGAUCAUGUUCCCUUCCCCCGCUUUUAAGUUCAUACUACCAGGAAAACACGGAAAGCUAUCUAAAUUUGUAUCCAUUGGGGGUCGGUGCGUGUGCGGCUUUGUGUUUUCCAAAAUUUGCUUUUGGACUUUUGUUUUCUUAAUUAGGUUUCAAACUAUAAACUAACAAGAGUGGAAGCUGGCUACUCCCAUUUGCCAUUGUGUAUAUAUAUAUAUAUUCAAGUUCGGAACCCAAUAAAAUUUUCAUAGAUUAUUAAUUUAGAGGAAAUGAAAUAGUAUUAAACCUUUAGAGUUGAUUCAACUUUGAAAUUUCUUUUAAAUUUCUAUGCUUUGUUAGGUGAUCCACAAUGUGAACUAGUCCCUGAACAAUUUUAUUUAAUUGACCUCUACGUUCGAAUUUUAGAAAAUAGUAAGGAACUAAAAAAAUAAUAAUUUAGAGCUAAUCCCCUACUAAUUUUUUUUUGUUCUGACCACUCCUACUUUUUAUGAAAAAUCACGUGAAUUUGACAAGAAAUAUUUAAGGAUCUGUUUGUAACUGUUAUAGUUUAACUUAAGGAAAAUGCUUAAUGUCGGGAAGGCUGAGAGAAACAGCAGUUUGUGCUGCCGUUUCACGCGUGUUCUCUUGGCCCCACCCCUACUUUACUUUAAGCAUUUACUCUUUUGUUUUUUAUAUUAUUUUAUCUGUCUUUUUGUUUUUUUCUUCUUCUUCUCUUUUUUCUUUCUCUCUCUUUUGCAAUUGCUUCAUUACUUCUCUCGAUCGUCAAUUUCAUCUUCACCAACAACAUCAUCAUCACAAUUAUCUUCUUCUUCCUCCUAUCAAUUUUGUUUCUUCUUCUUCAUCAACAUCAAAAUUUGGUUUCAUCUUCUAUCUUGUAUAAUUAAAAGCCAAGCACCCCUUUGACUUGGAAUAAAAAAAAUCAAAAUCAAUACAAGUGUUGUUCUUCAUUUUUUUUGGAUUUUUCAGAACAAAAAAAAUAGGGAAAACACACUUGGAAUAAUGGAGAGAUCCGGACGAAGUGACAAACCGGACUGAUGGUGUCUGUCGUGACGAGCUGAAGAAAAAGAGGUGGCUGUCGGUAACGAUGCCGUUGACGAGAGAGAGUGCCGAUGAUGCCGAUGAAAUUGAGGGGAGGAAGAAGAUACGAGAGUUUCUGGUGCUAGAGAGAUGAGUUGACUGCCGCAAACGUUAAGUUGAAAAGAAAAGAGAAAGUAACGUGGGGGUGAGGCCAAGAGAACACGUGCGAAAUGGCAACAUAAACUGCCGUUUCUCUCAGGUUCUCUCAGCCUUCCCGACGUUUAGCACUACUCUUAACUUAAUUUGACAAGACACCGUCACAAAAAAUAACAAGUAAAUAAGAACUAGAUCCAUUUGUAUUUUGACUAAUAUAAUUACUACGAGAGUUUAUACUACUGAUUCCAUUUCACAACAAUAGAUCUCAAGAAUACACAGAAUGAGCUCCUAAAUAAAAUUAAAAAAUUAAACAUUUGAAAUUCUGAUUUUUCAUUUUUGGUGGUAAAUUACAAGAAUUCCACUAAUUAUAUGAAGGUAUUUUACAGUCACACUCAUAUAACAUUAGAGCCACCACCAUACAUCGACCAAAUAAACAAAUUGAGAUAAGGAGAGUGACCCGCAUAUAUUCAGCUGGAAGCGGGCGGCUGGAGCUGGGGAAAAAAGAUGCGUCGGAUGCUGCGAACUGACAUUCUCGUCCGACAAGUCGGACAUUUGCCCUGAAGACGGAUGGCAUCGACAAUGCAAGAUUUACAGAAGACAUGGCCGCACUUGGUGGACGACUCUUCCUUCAUCGUAUCCAAACAUAUUCCACAAGUGAACCUCACCUCUCCCACCACCACCGCCCCAUUCCUUGAUUCGCAUACCCUACAUUUCUGUCAUCACCAUUCCCUACCUUCAACUUUAUUUGCCAAUUCAUGAAUUUUCUUUCAACUAAUCAUUUUAUGAUUACAGAGUGGUAAAAGCUUUUUACCAUUUAUAAUCUUGUAGUUAAUAUAGAUUUUUGGAAUGCCUAAAUUAUUAAAAUUCUCCGCCGUGGACUCCCUUAUUUUAUAAAUUAAUUAUAUUAGUCUUAUUAAUAUAUAUUCUAAUUAUAGUGGGUGUUAAGUGGUACUAUUGAGUAAAUAGUGAUUUUACGUACUUUUUAGUUUACCAUUUUAUCCUUCAGAUGAAUUAGGAAAAAAAAAAACCACGUCUUGUUCAAUGUAUUUUUUAUGUUAAACUUUAAGAAAACUAGCAUUACUCUUUGUAAAGUUAGACCAUUAAUAUAUUUUUACGUAAUUUAAGUAUGCGUUUUCUUUAAUGUAGACAUCAACACAUCAUAAAAGAACUACUCAACAUAUAAAAAUGUAAACUACCAAGAUAAGGGAAAAAAAGAAAAGAAAAAAGAUAGUAUGCGUGUAUGCUCACCUCUUUGUCGUUGGAAACUUGGGGGACGUCUUCUAUUCCAUUGAUUGAUCGACCUUGAAAAGCUAUGUGGCUGCUGUCUACUGUCAAUUCAAUAACAAUCAACGAGAGAUAUAUUGUGAUUUCAUGUAACAUUAUUAAUUCUACACGCAGAAAAUAUGUUCCUCAUCGUUAAUUUGAUUGAUCUUUCAACAAUAAUAAGAGGUGACAAAACAAUGAGACUGCCGAGCGUUUUAUUAAUUACCAGUUCUGGGCCCUAAACGAAGUUCGAGGUCUUCUUCAGUCAAGGGACCAAACGAUAGCGGGUGACGUCGUUUUAGCAUGGUCUGCCAAAAACACACACCCAAAAUCUUAACAUAUAUAAAAUUUAAAAUUAAUAUCGGUCAUAAAAAAAAUUGAACAAAAACUAUUAUUUUCUGCAUAAAAACAUGAAACAGCGGGAUCAAAAAUACUUUGUACUUGAGAAAUGAGAACUAAUAAGGAGAAGUGAAGAUCCAAAGGGUUGAAGAAUUUUUGAAUUGAUUGGAAGAAGAGAGGUAAUUAGUAGACUGUAGAUUUUUAUAUAUAAUAGAUGGAAACUAUUUUUCUGUAUUUUUAAUUUUGGUACUUUAAUACAAAAACGAUAUGGGACAACUAAGUUCUUAAAUAAGACAAAUCAUUUGAUUUUUGAGAAUUUAAUUAGAAACCAACGUACGAGGGACCUUGCAGUUGCCAUAUCCAAUGCAUACUGAAAUGAGUUAUGACAUGUGCCCAAAUCCCAUUUUGAAAAAAUAAUUAGAUGUUAUUUUGAAACAUUAUGAGUUGCUAGGAAAAAAUAAAAAAAUAUAAACGGAAGAUAUAUUGCCAUUAGUAUGAUAUUUUGAAAGAUUAUCGUAUAUCAAUAAUCAUAUUUCUUAACAAGAUAUUGAUUCACUAAUUUUGGACCAAAAUUAACUUAUUUUAUUUUGUCAAAUUAUUUUGUUUCAUACUCUGUUUAUAUCUAUUAAUUUUUACUACGCACCAAGUAAAAAUUAUGCGGUACAUUGCUGUGUUAUUCAAAUUCAAGGUUGCAUAUUAACUACUAAACUGGGUCACUUAAAAUGGCCCACCAUAUUAAAUAAAAUUUGUAAUUGGCCCAAAACUGUGUAUGGCAUUUUUUUUGUUAUGGGAUAUGUUACGAUUUUACUGAUAUAUUUAUAAUCAUAAUUUUACUGGGACUCACUUUAGAGCAACUGCGCUGUUGGCGGAACUUAAAAAAUACCAAAUGAAUUUGUGACCAAUUAUUAGCAGAAUUACAUAUACCUAUUAUUGUAAUUUUACAUGAAAAUUGAUUGAUAUUAACUAAAGUGAACUUUUUUUCUCAUAAGAAACUCAAAAAUAUUGUGUUGCCUUUAACCCACGGCCAGGUUGGAGAGCUCCAACGGAUCCACUUUUAACUAAAGUGACCAAAAUGAGAGUAAAAUUUCAGCAGCAUAAACGUUGCCUAAUUCUAAGUAUAUUUUUCCUUCUACAUACAUAAUACAUCCUCUCUUGUAUUUUAUUUGUAGGGCAGAAAGAAUAAUAACAGGGCGUUGCUCCAAAUGAAACCUCAUCCUCAAUUGUAGUUGUAGAUGAAAUGAAAUCUCUUGCUUGUUUGGUAAACAAUAAAAUUGGUUUAAUCCAAUAAAAUUGUAUGUUAAAUAAAAUUAGUUGUAGUUACUUGGUUUCUAUUUAAUUUUUUAAUAAUUUAAACAAUAAAAUUGUAUGUUAAAUAGAUCUAGGUAGCGUUUACUUUUUGAAUUGGAUUGGGAAUCUUGAGGAGUGGGAAUCCUAGGAUUGGGAGUGUGGAGUAGGUUAUUUACUUACACUGAAAUAGAAGUAUGGAAUAGAGAUCAGAAUCCUAUUUAUGUGUUUACUUUGUCUUGGAUUGAGAGUAAAUAGUUUCAAAUUAUAAUUUUAUCAUUAUUUAAAGAAUAAUAGUUUUUAAUUACAAAACUAAUAAAAAAUAUAUUUAUUUUAUUAUAUUUGUAAAUUUAUUAUAAUUAUUAAUAUUCUUAAUUAUGAACAAUAAAUUAUUAAUUUUAAUACAAAAUGAAACCUUAUUUUAUUUUAUUUAAUAUAAUUAUAUUAAAUUUAUUAUUAUAUAAAAUAAUAAUAUAAUAUUAUUUAGUACAAAAUUAAUAUUUUCUUAGAAUAAACUAUUUAUUAUUAUUAAUAUUAAAUAAAUAUAGUACUAUUAUUUUUAAAAUAAAUAUAAUAAUGUUAUUUUAUUAAUUCUCUAUUAAUAUAAUAUUAUUAUUUUAAAAUAAUUUUAACUUAGAAUCAAUGCAAAUUAUUAUUUAGUUAAAUAUAAUAUUAUUAUUCAAAUAAAUAUAAUAAUAUUUAUUUUAUUUUAUUAAUUAUAAAAUAUUAAAUUAAAUUAAAUUAAAAAAAUAAAAGGAUAAAAAAGGGAGAGGUGAGAGUGGAUUCCCACUCCCACUCCCCACUCCAAAAAUGGGUGGGGCCCACGGAGUGAGAUUCCCACUCCCUUCUCAUUUAAAGGAAGUAAAUGCUGGAGUGGGAGGAAUCCACACUCCUCACUCCCACUCCAGCAAGUAAACACAGUACUAAUCAUACUACAUAAAGCACGAGAUAAUAGUAGUUAUAAUUCAAUUUAAUCUUAUCAAAUCCAAUGCAGUCCAUACCAAACAGGUCCAUUAUCAGUUGAUUUGUUUUGGGACGAGGUUAAUAAUUGAAGAUUCUUUUUUUGGUUAAAUAAGUAACAAUUAUUUAAUAUUUUGUUCAAUAAAAUUAUUUUUCAAUUGAUAUUUUUAUUUACAUCAAACUUUGGUGCAAUUGUAGAAAUAUCUUUUCGAUAAGAGCCAUUUAACAGUGAGGGAGACUUUUAAUAAAUUAAAAAAAAAAUGAUAGUUAGAACGAGAAUCAUAUAUAAAAAUGAUAGUUAGAAUGAGAGUCAUAUAUAAAAAAAUACCUUAAAAGGUAUAAUUUUGGUAAACUGCUAAUUCGAUAGAACUUAUCUCUUCUUCUUUUUCUUCAACAUUUUAUGUGCUUCCAAGAAUCUAACAAUUGUAGAAGUCCUAGUAUAGGAAUCUCCUUCUUUCUAUAUUCAAGGGAGUUUUUUUUUUCCCCCUUCAUCUUCUAAAACCUAAUCACUCAUUCAAUUUAUAGAGUCUGUGAUAAUAGGGUCUUCUUAUUAUAAAAGUAUUAAAGCUUCAAAAAAGAUAAUAGUUAGGUAGGUAUAUCUAAGUAAUUAAUAUUUAGAUAUGUAAUUUUGCGUAAAAUCGGGAUAGUUAGAUUUACAUUUUUGCUAUUUUUUCUACCUCUGUUAAACAUGAGAUUGUCUUUUUAAUGGUACAAAACAAAUAAUAAAUAAUAGUAUUUACAUAUGUAAUUUUGCGUGAAAUCAAAGUAGUUAGAUUUACCUUUGACUUAGAUUCCUCUUUCUGUAUUACACAUGUGACUGUUUUCCAUGAAGAUCCAAAAGGGAAGAGAAAUGUCUAUCCAAAUAAUUAAUUUUUAGAUAUGUAACUUUGUGUAAAAUCCAAAUGGUUGAAAAUUUUUCCCCCCAUUUGUGUUAUAAGGAAAAAGUUAUUUUUAUCCCUAAAGUUUAAUACAAUAACUCAUUUCAUCCAUAAUUUUCAAACAAUAACCUAAAAUAUCAUUUCGUUAACUCACCGUUAGUGUAAAACCAUUAACUAGUAAUUCAUUAAGGGCAAAAUAUGAUUUUUUAUUAAAGUGAUACAAACUAUAUUAAAAUAAUUUGUUUACACAAUUAAAUAACACUAUAAAAUAUGUAAAAUUCAUUAAUUUUUUCUUAAAUAAAAUCAACGAUGAUAUAGUUUGAUGUAGCCAUUGAAUAAUUGCCAUAAGAAACAAAUUGUAAUUAACACAAUAUCUUUAAAUCAUUGGAAGAAAAACUCAAAAAUACCACCAAAUUUUAUGUGCUUGCAUGUGUUGAAUAUCUUCUUUAUCUUCAACUCAAUUCAAGUCAUUUUACAGUGCAAUUAGAGAAUAUACUUAUAUGAAUAAAAAAAAAUUGUGAUAUUUUUGGUACUUAGAUUUAUGGUUUAUACAGCUUUCAGCUGCCAAAAUAGAAAGAAGUGAAAAAAGAAUUGCUUGAAAUAAAAGUUUUUUAUUUUUUCGGUAUUUUCUAUUUGGUGGGAUUAGAUAAAAUUAUUUUUAAUUAUAUGUCAAUUUUUAUUUAUUUUUCUAAUUUUCUCUUCGAUAGAAAAUCCUUUUUUACCCUUAAUAAAUUACUAACAAACGAUAUUCAAUUAACGGUGAGUUAACGGAAGAAUGUUUUGGGUUAUUGUUUAAAAAGUAAGGAUGAAAUGGACUAUUACAUAAAAUCCUAGAGAUGAGAAAUAUUUUUUCCCUGUGUUAUACAUGCGACGGCCUUUUUAAAGAUGUGAAAAAAAAAUGUUAAUAUUUUAAGUUAAACACUUUUAUGAGUGUAAAUUGAUUCAAUUGGUAAAUUUAAUCGAAGCAAUUUCGUGAAAUUUAUUUCAUAACAUUGGUGUGUCAACACAUCCAAGCCAUCCAUACUUCAAUCUUAACUUGCGACUGAUCGAAAUUUGAGAAAUAAGCAAUCAUUUUUACUAAUGCCCCAUUUGUAAUCUCAAGAACUGUAGAUUUGGAUUACAACAUUCAAGUGGAGUGAGUCGUGUUGGUGAAAACGCAGCAAUUGAUGUUUUGGGAAUUAAGUGGGGUUAAUAAAGAGAAAAUUAUGAAUGAAAAAUUAUACCGAAAUGCAUCAAAGCCGUGACAAGUCAAAGUAACAAUAAUUUGGUUUUACUAAAAUCUCUACAGAAACGAAGAGAAAAAAAAAAAGAAAAGUGGGAUUUUUUAUAUAUUCAUGCAUUUUUUUUUUCUUAACAGACAAAUUUAUCAAUCUCACAAGCUCAAAAUGAAAUCAUUUAAAUUUUAGGUAUAUGCUACAAACUCACCAGCCACGGCUGCGGUGCAGGCACGGCAUUUGAACACAGAAGGAACAGCUUCAUUAUCGGCAAUGCUGUUGCACCUUGUAUGUUGCCACACCUGGCAAAUAUCACAAGCUACCAUUCUCUCCCCAUCAUCAUCCUUAGCCCCACAUACACAGUCAACGGUCCAAUCAUCGGCUCCACCUUCAAACCUCAGCUCCGUAUCCAAAUCUAGCCCCCAGCCUCUCACCCAAACAUCCCCUGCACCCCAAAACACCUGAUUCUGUCCCAUUUUUAUUUCCUUCACGACGACCUUUUCCAUCAUGUAGUAGGUGUCUCUCAGUGAACAUUCCACAAUCAGUUUCAGUUCAUCAACGGUAACAUCCUUUGGCGCCACAAUCAACUCAGCCGGCGGCAAUGGCCGAGUCAACUGAGUCGCUAACUCGUUGUAGCUCGGCGAAACCCGGCAUUUUAAUCUCAUUAAGUUGUCAUCUUCACUUUCUUUAAACUGCCACUCCUUGGCAAAAUUCUUGCAGUCUAAGAUUGCUCUAGCUGCUAAGCUCACAGUAUGAGACUCAGGGUAGCCCAAUAACACAUUCUUGUACAAUGUUAAAACAUCGGCAUAAACAUCUUGCCCCGGCAUCAACGUUGGAAUGUGAUACUCUGGCUCUGUUCUUGUUUGAAUUACCUCUCCAUUAGCAUCAUCUUCAAGAGCGAAUUCAGCUAAUUUGGUUGCUGGGUUUAUUUUGCGAUGAACAAUUCGAUUGUCCAAUAUGAUUUUGUGUAUGUGUUUAAUCAUGAAAUCAAGCAGACCCGUGUCGCCAAUUUUCUUUCUUGCUUCAUCACGCAAUUCUCGACGACUAAUUUUGGCUUUGCUGUUUAUGCUUGCAUUGCGUUGUUCCAGUGUGGUGAAAAUUGCCUUUGCUGCCUGCUCAAGCCUUUGAACACCCCAUCUACAGUUUGAAUUUUCAGUGAGAGAGGUCAGUGAAUCGAAUUCAACUGGAAUUUUGUCGUCGUUUGUUGUUUUUGUUGAGUUGUUUGGAGAUAACGCGGCUAGUGCCAAGGCUGUUUUCCUUUGAAUUGUUGGUUUCGAUGCCAAAGAAAGCAAGAACUGAAGCAAAUCACUAAUGGUGAUCAAUUGGGUAUCGCUUGCAUUCAUGUAAAGAUGAAUGAUCUUUCCUAUAACUCUGCCCCGGCUAGUGUUGCCAAAAUCAUGAAUGAUUCUCUUGAGCUCCAACGAACUUAGAAUUUGGAUUGCUCUAUUGUACUUGUGCUCUGUAACUCCAAAGCUACCGUGGCAGAAUUUAUAAUCCCAUUUGCCAAACCAAGAGCAUCCAUAUGUAACACAGUGUAACAACCGAAGAUCCAUACAUCUCUUCACUAGAACGUCGUGCACUGAUAUUUUCCUGAAAUAGAAAAACACUUGCCCAUGUUCAUUUACGAUAUGAAAUUUAAAUCUGAGCCCUUUACGGUAAAGUUUGUGUGAAAUUUCUUACUGGGUAUGGAGAAUUGUGCAGAGACGAUCAAAUAGAUUCAUGAUCUGCUCUUCACAGAGAUAGUUUGAGCCGUCUUUGCUUCCACUGAUGGAGAGAAGAUGGCCAAAUCCAUUGCAAUGGACGACGCCAUGCAAGAUAUGAUCACAGUGCUCGAGAGUGUCCAUGUUUAGAGGCUUAAUCCAUUUUUCGUGCUGUGGGAUGAUGAAAUGAUACCUUCUUUUGCACACAAAAUGGUGACUCCAUCCUUCAAUUAAGCACAACGAAAAAUUACGUCAAACAUGAAUUCAAUCAACACUCAGUCACUCACAAAUCCGUAAAAUUAAAGAAAAUUUCACAAAAUUAGUAGUUGAUUCAAUUGGUAAAAACUUUUAUCCCAUUGAGUGAAUUCAGUUUCCAUUGACUUCAAAAAAGAAAAAAAGGAAAAAGGAAUCCCGAUGCGAACACUGCUGAAUUGAAGUGAAGAACGAAAUGGAGGAAAAAGCCUCACCGACGCAUCUGCAAAGAUUGCAAAAGGGGUGUGAGGACUGUUUGAUGCUUUCUUCGAGGGUGUAAAGAGGGAAAACGACGCCGUUGGAUUCACUCAAGAGCAAAGUGCACCAAAUUGGGUUGUUUUGAACUUUGUAAUCUUCUGUGUCGGCGUAUUCUCGAAGAAACAAUCUUAUGUUUUCUCUAAAGGGCCCGCGAAAGUCCAGAGAAAACGUCUGAGUAGCAAAGUUGUUAAUAUUAAAGAUGGCAGGGACUCUUUUCCGUUUCUUGCAGGAUUCAAAAAUUGUGAUCGCCAUUCCACAAUACACAGAGGUCACGGAGAGAGAAGAUCAGAAGAAGAAGAAGAAGAAGUGUGUUUGGGGAUCGGCCAUCGUUUGAAAAAACUUUUGAAGAGUGAUUUUACAGAUGCGUCCUUGCGAGGGCGGGAGAUUUUGGAGCGUUGGUUUUGGUGUUGCUUAGUCAUUUCCUUAGAAUUGGUAACUUACCCCGUUGGUUAUCAUGCUUCCACAGCAAACACCGUGUGUGGUCUAACAAAUACUCUUUUUUUUUUGUUAAUAGUAUUUAAUAAUUAUGAUUUUUAAAUAUAUUAUAAAAUUUUCAUUAUACAAGUAGUAAAUUAAUUAAACUUAAUUUCCGAACAACAAGUAUUAUUGUUUAUUAAAUAUUUUACUUAAAAUUUUGAUAAUUACAAUCUCAUUCUAAAAUAAGACUUUAGUGUCCUGUUAUGUCUUAAUUAAAUUAAUGUAUCGUGUCACAAAUUGUCAUCUUCAAUUACAUAAUAAAACUUUACUCGAAAGAUUUUAUUGAAAAAAACGAAACCUGAAAGUUUGUUGAUGAUGGAUAAAUUUGUUGAUUGGUAUUACAAAGUCUUUGCUUGGAGGGAGUAAAUCAGGCUCAAAUGAAUAGAAUUUGAUGGUGUGUUUACUUAUUAAAAAUGAGAAUGAGAAUCACGAAAAUAAAUGAUGUAUUUAUUUGCUUAAAUGAGAUGUGGAAUAGGAAUCAAAGUGACGUUCCGCCUAAAAUUAAUAAUGAUUAUUAGAAUUUCUAUUCCCAGUGAGAAGUGGAAAUAGAAAUCUCAUUUCCUAAAAUGAUUAUAUUACCCAUACUUAAAUCUUAAAAUUCUUAUUUUGACCUUCCUUAUAUAUUAUUAUAAUGAUGGUGAUGAAAAAUUAUUAUUGUUGAUAAUAAUAAUAAUAACAAUAAUAAACUAAAAUUAGUUUAAUAAUUUAUAACAAUUCAUUCUAAUUUUAAAAUAAAUUAAAUAUAUCAAUGACAGUACACUUCAUUCUGAUUUUAAUUUCUACAAUUAAAAUAAAAAUUUUAUUUUAAUUUUUAUUCUCUAUUUUAAUUUAAUCAAUUUCGAUUCUAACUCAUUCGGAUUACUUAUUAAUAAAUUGUGAAGACAACCACCAAAACGAGCGUGCGGAUUAAUCGCUACGGAUACAAUCGUAGCCUACGGGAGCACAGGUAGCCCGUUACCAAGAACGAAAAUCGCCGCAAUUCUCACUCUAAUUUUCUUUCCUUUAUUUUCUUUUCCGCCUUUUAUAUUCAUUUACAGAUUCUACCACAUAAAGUUUCUCAUUUAUUUUGUUUUUGUUCUUCUUAUUUCUUGGAUUCGAUCAUACAUUCUUGAAAUGUCGGUAUGCCUUUUUCCCUUUUUCUGUGACACGUUUUGCGACGGACGUGACUUGCUUAUUAGAUCAAUUUCGUUUUGUACUUUCAAUUGGUAUGCCUAGUAAAUGCAUGAAUGUGAAAAUACGUUAUGUAGCAAUAUUACCUCUCACUGAUCUCUGCAUUUUAUGUGUGCUGUUGUGCGAACGUUAAUGAGAACAUAAAUGCAUGCCAGAGAAAAUUGAAGAGCAAACAUAAGAUUUUGAAUCUACAAAGAGUCAUUUUUUUUGGGUCCUAUUUACUUUUCUCUGUUGAGUUUUAACAUUUAGUAACGCGUCAUGUGUGGUGGUCAUUAAAUUAAUAAUGCACAACCAUUUCGAUCAGUUCAAUGGUUUGCAAAUUUUGGAAUAUUUUUUCUGCAGCAAAUUAAAUUGAGGGGAAGUUCUCACUGUAGUAUGGCAAGAUGGAGGAGGAUCCUAUAUCUUUUUUCGACCUAAGGAUAAAUAUUGGUGUUCAAGGGCAUGCAUAAAUUUGUUGGGAAAUGUUGGAUACCUUUUGAACUCUCGUGGGUGUAUCUGUAAUAUAAGACAAAAUUUUGAAAGAAGUUUGUUGUUAGGUGGAAUUUUCCUCGUAUUGAUGUGGAAUUGUCAAGCUUGUCAUGGCAAGGAACUGGGCUAUUAUUGUACAAUGCUUGACGAUGUAUCUGACAUCUUGUUGCCACAGCAUUAGUUCGAUGAUUUAAAUGAAUACUACAUUGUUUAUCUAUAUACAUCAAUAUUUACGUUGUAUUUGUUUCUGUUUCUAUUUCAUGGUAAUUUCCCUUUUUGCUUUAUCAUGAUAUUUUGUUCAUAUAAUAUGCACAAUGUUUCCAGUUAAAAAAAUAUUAGAAGGACGUUAGUUCUCUGUGUUAGUAGAAUAUCCUGGCCAGCUAAAGGUUCUAAAGCUCUCUGUUUUGCUGUUCUACCUCUGGAUCACCUGUUUGGGCAUUUCACUUACAGGUCCCGACAGACCAUACUGGGCAAAGUCUUGCAGCAGUUCCUCUGUCAAAUGAGACAACAAAUUGGACAAUUGGUGUUUCAGAAGUGAGGCAACUAUGUUUUGGAAAUAGCGUUUGUUGGUUCUAUUAACAGUAGUUUUGUUUCAUGAGUAAUGGUGUUUACUAUUAUGUUUCUCCUCAAAGGCUCUUAUAUUUGAAUAGUGCUUGCAUCUUAUCAGCAGCAAAUAUAGCUUCAUAUGAUAGUAGCAGCAAUCAGCUUAUGGUAUAUAUGACAGAAAAUAAGUAAUUGUGGAUUUUCCAUCUCAAGUGGAUGUAUUGGGUCCAUCAAUGGGAACACAGAAUUUGCAAGUUGAAGAAGAAUUCAUAUAUUGCUGGAAGUCUAAAAUCUCUUGUUUCAGCUUAAAUCCCUGAUAUGUUCUUUUUUUUUUUGUUUUGUCUAAUAAAUUAAAAGAUAAAGCUUGUAUAUUUUGGAUUUGGUACUGUGUCUUAUAUAUCUACUUUGCAUCUCUGACAGAUAAAAACACUCGAGGUUAGCAAUGUUUCACUAGUUGUUUCUGAGGAGGAUAUCAAAGAGUUCUUCUCUCUCUGUGGUGAAAUUCAGUAUGUUGAAAUGCGAAGGUCAGCACUCUUGAACAAUAUAGCAAUGUACUUAUUUAUUGCAGCCAUUCUGAGGAAACAUGAUUGUAUCUUUUGCAGUGAGAGCGACACAACUCAGCUUGUCUAUGUUACCUUCAAGGAUUCUCAGGGGGCAGAUACGGCACUGCUUCUAUCUGUGAGUUCAUCCAGAAUGGUGGUUAAAUUUAAUCAUUACUAUUUGAAACCUCUGAGUACCAUUUAUCCCAAAGCAGAAUGUUGCAUUAUGCAUGUGUUUCAAAACGUUUCUAGAUAUUCAAACACCCCUCUCCAUCAAAAGAAAAAGAAAAUGAGAAAACUGCAGAAAUAAUAAGAUUUGGUAAAGCAUUAAGCUAUUGAUUUUUUUUUUUUAAUUGGAUAUAAAUUCAGAACAUAUUCUCAGUAAUGUGUCAGUCCUUUGUUUCGGACAUUAGUUGAGUAAGAAAAAAGAGACUUUCUUAUGCUAACAGUCUGACCUCAAGGCAACUACACAAGCUUGAAAUAUACAGUCCUGAGACUCAGAUGUAUUUUAAAAUAUUAUUGAUAUUUAUAGGGUGCUCCCUUGGAAUUUGUUCCUUAACAUUUGAAUUUCAUAUAUCUUAUUUCAGGGUGCCACCAUUGCUGGUCUUCCUGUCACUAUUACUCAUGCCCAAGAUUACCAGCUACCACCAGAUGCCGUUUCACUGAAAAUGGUAAGUUUUGUGGCUGCAUAGAACUGUAUCUAUGCUUCUGCUUGUGCCUUUGCUUCUGAUUCUUGGGAUUCUUAGGGAGAAACAAAGAUUCAAUAUAUACUCUGAGCUUAUGAUAUGAGAUUUGAAGAGUUCGCAUUUCUAACUUACUUAUCUUCAGAGAUCUUUGAACUGAGGCAUCUGAAAAUGUUUACUUGCAAACUGAUGCAAAAUUAAAUAUAUUUUGAUCUGACUGAUUUAUAGAGAAAAAGAUAACUAAUAUGAUAUGUUUUAUUUAUGUACAAGUUUUAUUAUGAAGCUGCUUGCUUUCUAACUUUUCUACAUCCGGUAUGUUGCGUUUGGCACUUCACGAAAACAUAGGGUGUACAACCAAGAUACAACUACUAAUUAUGUGCUAUAAAUCUUGUUAUUUUUAUAAUUGAAGGAGCAUGAGCCACCUGAAACUGAUUCUGCUGUUAAGAAGGCUGAAGAUGUGGUAAGCACCAUGCUUGCAAAGGGCUUUGUCUUGGGAAAGGAUGCCAUCAACAAGGCAAAGGCCUUUGAUGAACAGCAUAAAUUGACAUCAAAUGCGUCUGCCACUGUUACAUCCAUUGACCAAAAGAUGGGCUUGAGUGAAAAGCUAAGUGUGGGCACAGCUAUAGUCAAUGAAAAGUUGAAAGAGAUGGACGACCAUUUUCAAGUUUCCGAGAAGACGAAAUCUGCCUAUGCAGUUGCUGAGCAGAAAGCAAGCAGUGCAGGAUCUGCAAUCAUGAGUAACCGUUAUGUACUAACAGGAGCUACAUGGGUUACAAGUGCAUUUAGUAGAGUCACAAAAGCGGCUGAGGAUGUGAGCAUGAAGACCAAGGUGAAGGUUGAAAAGGCUGAAGAGGAGAAAAAAGAGGGCAUUAACACCAAGAAGGCAGAGAUAAUCAAUGACCUUGCACUGGCUAAUUCUGUCAAGUCUCCGGAAGGAGAUCCUCCUCUGGCUCCAAUUGAUUCAACUGAUAGUAAGCUUGGAAAUAUAUGAUUGAUUUGAGGUUUCUUGCAUACCCUUGAAUACUUCUGAUUUUCUUGUAUGAUAAAUUUUACAGCGGUGCUUUCAUAAACUUUCUACUUCUUGUACUCAAUAUUAGACGCAGAAUUUCUUACUAUCUUCCAAGAGGAACGACUUUAUUUAAUAUGUAGUUUGUGUUUACCGUUUUAUGUACAUAUAUCCGUGCAAGUGCCUGUGUAUUUUAAGUUCAUAGAGAUUUUCAUGUAAGGAUAACCCAAAAAUCCAUUUGUAGAAUGCUGGCUAUCCGAAUUUAGCUAAAUGUCAAAGCUUCCUUGCUCACUUCAUUGUCUGUAUGAAAACCAUACGCUUUUACUCGUGUAAAAUGCAACACGAUUUCGGAACUGGUAGUAAAAGUUUAUAAUAUGGCCUAGCAAUACAUGAACAGCCUUGGAUGAUAAUGGUCUAACUAAUUGCCUGAGGCAACGUUAUUUAAAAUGCACACGUACUAAGGGAAAAGAAUUUGGUUAAAGGUUACUUUUCGAAGAAAUGCUAGGUCACUUUGCAAAAGUUGCAAUGACCUUACAAGAACUAUAUGCAUAUCACAUACUAUGCAGGCAACAAAUAUAUAGGUUUUUUCAUUGAAAUAGGCAAAAUUUGAUGUUAUUAUCAAGUUGAUGUCUUACUCAGGUUUCUUUUCCAUCAUAAGAAAUGUUUAAACUAAAUGUUAGAACAGUUGGGCAGCUGUUCUUUUAAAACAUAGUAAACAAGUGUGUUCAGCACUUUGCUGGUGAUAGUAACCAUGGUCCAUGCAUUGAUCAUCCAUAGAUCGGAAUGAGUGGUUUAGUUGCUAGCUUAGCUUCUGUGAAACUCAAAUCUCAUCAAUUUAUGCACUAUAUCUAAUAGCUCCGAGGAUUACAGAUUCAGAGAGUGUUUGGCAGCGCAGCUGCCCCAAACGGACCCUCAGUCAUCUCAAUCUAAUUCAAAGUAUUACAGCCCCAGGGAGACCAGCAGAGCAGCCAAUAUAGGAUUGUACAUAUAUCUAGAAUAAAUUCGCUGGAAAAGAAUCCUAGGAAAUAUCUUUUCUCCUUUUGAAAAUGAAAUGAUCAAAAAAAUGUCAGGCAACAUAAGAAGGACUUUUCUCUGCACGAUCCUGUCACUAUUGCUUACUUGGUAACGAACUUGCCAUUGAAAGACUUCACCCAAAUUUUGGGCAUUUCAAAAGAACUAGAGUUGUGUCUUCAAGUACAUACUUUUACCUACUAUUUAAUGAACACUUUACAACAAGCAUCAUUUACUGUUUGAAUUUUAAAAGAAUUGAAGUUCUUUUACCUAGCUAUGAUUGAGUGGAAUCUAUAAAAGGUUGCCUUUGUACCUUUCUCCCAUGCCCUUAUGAUGAGUGAACAAGAAAAAUAAAUGUCAGCAAACAGAAGUUGAUGUUUGGGGUCAUUUCAGGGUUCUUUGCUAGCUUACAUACUGUACCAACCACUCCAGGCUCUGAUAAAGUUUACAGAUUAUCAGUGAACAUAUUAACUUGAAAAAAAAAAAAAACAGCAAUCACAAAAUAUCUGGACUUGGUGAUUUUGUUAUAUUGCUGCAAUUACCGAAUUAAUACUCUCAACACACAUGAGAAAGUCAUAAUAUGGGAUUAUUUUGAUACCUUUAUGCAAUCAGGUAGAUCAUUGUCUUUUGUUCUGACAUGAAUCUGCAAAGUUAGAUAAGAGUAAUCAGAAUGUAAAAGAGUGACUGUGUGGAUGGACCAGUUGGUCCAUAUUAAAGCAGAAAAAAAAUGGAAUACUGGUGACUAAAAAGGACAAUAUUUCAUCAUUUACAAACGAUAGAUUGAAAAUUGAAUCGUUUUGAAACAACAAUAUAAGAGUAGCCAUUUUGAAUGCUUUGUAGACAACAAAUAGUUUCAUAGUAUGGUCUCCAGUCACCCCUGAAUCAAUGAUAAUGGCCUCAACUAUCUUCUAUUUCAUGAGAUUUAAAGUUCAAUGUCUUUUUUUAUUUUUUUCUUUCUGGAUCUUUCGGGUUAGUAUUUUUACCUCAAUGACUCUGUGGUAGGAUGUAUCCUGAUGGCUUUCUAGCAAAGCCAGAAUGACAAGUGCAGCUGCAACAGUUGAGGGCCAAUAGCUCAGGUGCUCAUGAUCUGAGAGAGCCAACACUGCUAGGUACUUGGCCUUCUUAUCCACCCCUGCAUCAGCUUUGGCGGCUUUCAGGUAGAACCUACAUUUUCGACAAUUUCCCAACUGGACUAAGAAUAAAAUAAAUGGAUCUCUAUCAAGCUCUUUGACUGAGGAUAGUUUAUAGACUAAGAAGGAAAAUCAAAACAACUAUGAAUAUUCUCAACGGUAAACUAAAGUUAAACAUCCAUCAUCCUAUGAAUAUACUUGGGAGGAAAGAUCCACACCAUAGGAAAUUAUAGAUAGUAGGGAGGAAGCACUGGAAGUUGAGGACCUCCUGCACCAGCCAUUCCAUGGCCACCACUUCACAUCUGCUAUAAACGUUGUUCCCUAUGUAGAAAUUUUUUUGCCGCACACUGAGCCAUAAAAAAAAAUUUCAGUACAGCUAUCUCCAUCCAAAUAUUUGACAUAUUAAAGUAGGCACAAAUUAUUCAUAUCUUUUGAUCUUAAAAAUUCUAUAGGAAAAAACGGCAGAGAAAAAUGUCAUCACCCGUUGUAGGGCUGAUUUUCUUCAAUUCUGGUGGCCAAUGCAAGACAAGCUACUCCAACAAUUUGAAGAUUCCUUUUGAUUUUGAAGAAUCCCCUGCUCAGAAACCGAUCGAGAAGGCUAACCCCAAGGAACAUUGUCUCCUGGUGUAACUCCUUAGCAGUACAUUGCUGCUAAUCCAAAGUAACAUGUUCUGAUCAACAACUGAUAAUUAAUGAAGAAAGAAAAUCAAUUGAACAACUGAUAUUUCGCUUUGUUGAUACUAAAUGCCAAUCCAAGGCCUUGUAAAUUCGAGAUAAUAAACAGUCAAACACUUCAAAAUAUACCCGCAAGAGAAAAAAAGAAGACAAAGAAUCUGAUUUAAAAGCUCAAAGCAAUUAAUCACUUUUGCGAGCAAAAUACAUUGAAUAUUUUAAAUUCAUGUAAUCUCGUUGUUUUCUACUUUAUCUAUUUUCUUUACGUUGAGAUUUCUACAUGUCAAACACUACCUUGUGAACUAAACUAUUUCACAUUAAUUGUGGAAGGGCUCGUGAUGAGUUUAUAAAUGCAAGAAAAAAAUCUUCCUUGAACUAAUUUUUGGGUUUGAGAGUAGUUAAAGACCACUUAACAUAUAAAAAGUCCACAAGAAUAUAGGCUUGCCCAACAAACUUAACAAAAUAGUGGAGCUUUUAACAUCCCUCUAACAUCAUUAUAACACUCCUUAUACCCUAAGUUUAAUUUAUAAAAUAUAACUAAUAUAUUAAAAUUGAUUAUCUUCCCCUAAUUUUUUUACUUAAAAAAUGUAUACUUUUAUUUAUAAAAUACAUAUAAAAUCUAAAACCUUGAAGUAUUUUCUUCCAAUUUUAUAGUUUUAUUUUCGUAACUUUAAACCAUUAUAAUUUUCUCAAAAAAUAUUUUUUUAUUAGAACUAAAGUGUAGAUAUAAAUUAUGAAAUGGAGUCAAUGUAAAAUGUUAGUUAAACAAAUAAUUUAUUUAAGUAUUUAAUUAAAUUUCAAUUUAAAAAAUAAGAAAUAAAUUAGAUUGUAUUUAGUUGUUUAAAUAAUUUCAAUUAAAAUGGAGUUCUAUAAGAAUUUUGAUGAGUAACAAAAAGUCUACUUUCAACCAAACUCUCGGACUAGAUGCCAUUGGCGCUCUCCCCGGAGUCCACUCAGCUAGGAGGAAAAUGCUUUAAAAUCACCUACAUACACCAAACCACGUGCUACUACUUUGUCACGCAGACCUCUCCAUCACUCAUGAAGCAGGGUAAAGAUUGAAUUGACAAAAAUACCCUAACACGGACACGGUGCCAUGCCUUUCGCGCUCUCAAGUAGGAGGAUAAAGCCAGCCUAGUUUGCAAAUUAUAACAAACACUGUGCACCACCUCUACAUUCUAUUACGUGCCACAGACUGAAUGGACACAAAAUUUUUUUUUCGUGAAAACCGUCACCGUAUGUUUUGUUUGUUCCCUGCAACAGAAUCUACUUGCUAACAGUGUUCUGAAGGGUAGGCUGUCCAGGCCCAGUGAAAAUACGAUUAAAUUGAACUUAAACCAGGCGAUUAAUUACGUAACAGUAAGGACGCAAAUCACUAGUCAUGAGUCAAAUGUAAUCACCUCUACGAUCCAGUGGACCAUCUGAGACCGUUGUUCGCGUAUGAGGUCGCCGUACUCUGUACCGGAAAAGUAUUCCUCGGCGUAGUCGUACAAAAACGUUUGCCUUCGCUCUCUUUCACGAAACCUUUGGUAGCUCUCUUCGUCUUCCUCAUCUUCGAACCUCACAAACUGAAGAUUAAAAAGUUCACAGUAAAAAAAUGAGAAUAAUUAAGAAUUAACUCGGUUGAAAAUCAGGCAUUUGCACGUUUGAUAACGGCGAAAUUUCAAAAAAAUUAAGCAGUAAUGUAAGAGAAUAGUCAAAUUAGCUGAAUAAAACCAAAAGUAUUUGUUUCAUCGAUUAUGCAGUUUACACAGAAACCAAUAGGAAUAUUAAAAUAUUGAUUAAAAAUAUAAAAAUGAGAAAAUAAAAACAACCUUAACAAAAUGAGACUAACACGAAGGAUUAAUUAUGUUUAGCUACGCUGCUACUAAGAAAAAAUUAAAGAAAGCAAACAGAGAUGAAGAAUUUAACUUACUGUAGACGGCUGAUUCUCUUCUUGAACGAGAAAACACUUUCUGGAAUCUAGAGGAACAGAGGACCUAGAGAACUGCUUGCUAAACUCAUGGAACAGAGAAUAAGUAAGCGAUGGAGGACUGUUAUCGCCGGUCGACCGUUCAGAAAAUUCGCUUCCAGAAUCAAAGAAAAUCGACGGCGUGUAAUCCGAGAAACCGAGGUCAGAGUUCUCCGGGAAUAUGUCGAAUUGCAGCUCAGAAAAUGCAUUCUCGUGACUUGACGAGUACUGAGAUGUGUUCUCAUAAGAGAACUGCUCCGUACACGCGAGAUCCGAAUCAAAUUUAGAGCUCCUCGUCUCUUGCUCGACAACGGACUCCGAUUUUGAAACGAUGAAAUUCGAAUCAACGCCACCGUUUUUUGAAAUAUCGGAGAGUUCAAGUUUUUCUUCUACUGCUCUGCUUUCACUUAGCUUCGCCACGGAGCAAGAUUCAACACCAGAGCUUAUUGAAGCGACGUCGUUGUUGUCCUUGCACACCGGAUUUCGUUCGAAAGACGAAAUAUCAGAUCGUGAAUUGUCGUUUGGUUCAACUUUCUUGAACUUACAACUUAUCUCUCCAAAAGCAGCUCCAGAAUUUGAUAGAACACAAGACGACUCACUUGCUUCAACUUCAUAAGCUUUGGUUUCGUUCUCCAUCUGACGCUUGUAAUACGACCUCGUGAUCCUCCGAAACGGCUCGUCGCCUUGAAUCUUCUUCGUCGUUUCAUUAGGUUCAAUUACUUCUUCGAACUGCCUCUUCUUGAUGUUUGAAGAAACUUCGUCGCCGAAAUGAGAGCAGGAGCUCGAAUCGACGGAGAAUUCCGAGAAGCUUUUGGUGGUCUUGUUUUCACUGAACACAAUCGGAGAGAUCUUCGAACGUGGAAGACGAAAUCGCUUUGAUCGGAGCUUCUUCUUGAUGAACGGCUUUGAUUUGAUCAUCUUUGCUCUCAAUUUUAAAUUCAAAUUUGAAAUGAAAAUUUGCUUGAGAUUAAGAAGAGAGGGGGGGAGGGGGCUAGUGCUGAGUUGUAUUGACUGUAGAGUGUUAAGUUCGCGCGAAGAGGUUGUGGACGUUGAAGGCGAUAGUGCGUGGUGGCAGGGCUUAUUAUACGCUGCGUGGGGACCACGUGAAGAGUCAGUUUCUCACGCACGUAAACGGUGAAAUUAGUUAGUGUAGGGACGAUCUAUUUAUUGAAGAAUUUAGGCGAAUUGGGAAAGUCCACGUCAGCAUAAUGCAAUGGCGAGAGGUCUAGAUUCUGACUUGGGCCACCUAUGGGUGAAAUCAAUCGUCAGGCUGUGUCUGCGUUCGGGAGUUCAUUUAUGGCAAUUCCAAAACUCAGAUUAAUUAAAAAGAAUGCCUUUUUCUACUAAAAAUAAAAGGUUAUUUACCAAAUUUACUGCACCAAUUUAUUGGUGUUACGAAAUUAUCGUAUCAAUAGGAAAAUGAUAAAGUCAAUAAUAUAUGAUGCAAUAAAUAAAAAAAUGUCAUUUUAAUUUGAGAUUAUCAAAUCUUAUUAUCCAAAUCAUACAAAUUUGUGGGUGGUAAUUGGCUCGAAUGAUAUUAGACAAUUAAUCUUAGAAUGUUAUGAAUCUAGCAUCGUUUUGUAUUUAUGUGCUUCUAAUCUAAGGAAGACGCCGCAUUGACAAAGUUGAACUUUUUCUAUUUGGGCCAAACGAGCGAGAAUCAGUAACUUGUCAUCUCUUCGUCUUGUCUACAGUUACAGGCCCUGUGGAUCUCUUAGUCAGUCCAGGAUUUGAGUCCAAUCGAAACUGACCCGAAUGUUGCCGGACUAUUAUUAUGUGCAACGACCAAUUUAACUUGGCAGUACCUGCCUUUCAAAUUCUAAGACACAGACAAUACUUCGAUUCCUGUAACAAAAUCAAUCUGAGAGCAUUCAGCAGCUCGAUUUGCCAAUUCAUUUCGCAGUGAGUCUCUCGUCCUGUUUUCCCUUUUUUCUUAGAAAUCAACUAGGGUUUCUUUACUCCUCUUCUGAGCUUCUAUUUAUCAUCUUUGAAUUAUUUGAUUAUUUGGGUUUGUUUUGUAUCUUAACUGAGAUUCAAUUAUCUUUAGGGUUAGUUGGUCAGUUUAAGUGUAAUCGUCAAAUGAAUUAAAAAGAAGCUUUAAACUUGAUCAGAAACUGAAGUAAAUAGGAAUUUAGCUUCCAUUUUGCUUAUUUUGGCUUCCGUAGCAUUUCACUAAACCAAGUAGUGUUAUCUAGGUGUAGUGUUUGCAAUGUAUCUGAAAUUUGCUUCUGUUAGUGGACUUAUAUUACCGUUUAAGGGGUAAUUAUUUUGCUAAAAGAGAUUUAAAAUGAUGAAUGCUAUUGCCUGUUUUGUGAUUUCCUAAGUAUUGGCAUUAAGAACUCUGAAACCGAUGAGUUUAUUAUUAUUUGUAGCUAUUUCUGAGAUAAUGCCACCCAGUUUAUUUUGAAUCUUUUUAACAUUUUGUAUACCAAUUUGAAGAAAAACUAUUGUGCCAAUGAAGGAUUUCAAGAUCAUAUUCUUUCUAAAUCUUCUUUUGUUAUCCUUGGUUAUGCAUUUAAUAUCUCUGAUUAACAGGAUAGUCUCUUAUGUUGUAUCACAUUUUCUCUGUUUUCUGUCAAGGUUUAUGAAUUGGAAAACUUAUGGGUUUGGCAUCGGCUAGCACUGCUACUGAUGGUAUGCAAUUAUGCAUAUUUGACUUGAGAAGGGGACAAAAUGAAGGGCAGGAGCUAGACAAGAUUUUGUUUUUCUUCCCUGCUGAUUUGCCCUUUUCAACACAACUUUCUGUGAUAGGACUCAGCGAAGGACUUAUCACAUUUACAAGGUCAGUGACCAUCUUGAUUGCAGAUUUUGUGAAUAAGAGCUAAAGACAUCUUGAAAUAUUUUUAAUUAUGCUUUAGUUGGAAUAAUUAUGAUAUUUGGGAUUAAUUGUAAAGAUCAGGUUAUUAGAUUUUAUUUAAUAGUGAAAGAUAGAUUUAGGUAUGAAUUUGUUUCUAGUUGCUACAUAGCAUGUUCUUGUCAAGAGAAGAUGCAUUGUAUACUCUAACCAGUCUAAUACGUAUUUUUUGGCUAUCACCAAUUCUAGUUGGCUUACGAUCUCUUUCAAUUUUAUUGGAAAACCAAUGAAAGGAUUUUGUUCCUGUAUUUCGUUUUAGCAUGACUGUAAUUCAAGUAGUUUGGUUGUUUUGAGGCAUAUAACAUUAGCUUUAUGCAGAAUUUUCUCACCGGAAGCUGCAUGUGAAGUCAUAGAAGCCGAGAGGCACUCUCAUGUUUUCUAUGAAGCAGAAACAGAUAUCUGGAUGGUGAUGGUAGGAUAACCAUUUCCUCUAAUAAUCCAUGAAGUGACAAUGAUUACAUGCUCUGAUCAAUUACUCUUUACAUUAUGAUAAUUAUGCUGAAAUGUUAUAUCUGUUUGCAUAUCCUGAUUAUUGUUUUAUUGCCAUUUUGUUUAAAUGUUUUAUCUCUUGGUUGGUCCUUUAUUUGUGUAUCCUCUCUAGGGAAACUAAUUUUUAUCAUAAGCUUUUAUUAUUAAUUCCAUUUGCAGUUUUGCUCUCAAUUCUGGUAAUCUUUGAACUAUAUAAGACUUUUAACAGCCUGUUUGGAAUUAUAAGUUACUUAGACAAUUCACAGUGUGAGUUAUGAUGUUCUCAAUCAUCAUGAUGUCUUCAUUCAGAAUUUUGUUAGCGUAUAUUAGACAUUUGUCUUAGCAUUAGGUCUUGCAGGUAGAUGUGGUUUUAUAACAGGAAAUGAGUUCUUCUGUCUACCUUCUGGCCGAAACUUUAUAUAUAGAGUGGUAAACUUACUGUUUUUAGGAUAAUUUGGCAACAAAUUCUAGCUAUAUCAUCAAAUCUUCUUCAUUUCUUUCUUCAAAUCAUAAUUGAUUUAAGACAAGUACAUGUAUGCCUUGAUCAGUCUGUAAUUUUAGAUUAAGGGAUUCUAACCUGUUCUGUAACUUCUUGAAGGUGGUGGAGAAAGGUAAGGAUUCAGAUGCCAUAUGGCGCAUUGAUGCAUUACGCAAGGUUCUUAAGGAAGUUCACUCUCUUUUUGUGAUGUUUUAUGGAUCUAUAAGAGCAAUGCUUGAGAAAGACCCUAGUGGUGGGCUAAUACGAUCUCAUUUGUACCCUUUCAUCAUGGAUUAUCUAAGUGGUAAUUAAUUCUGCAAUCAACUGGCCUCUAAAAUUACGUUAGAUCAUUGUUCUGCUGUCUUUGGUUCAACAUAUUUCAUUGUUAAGUCACUAAUUGUCAGCAUUCCAAAUACGGUCUCCCUUGGAUAACUGCUGCUGGGGUAAUGCUGAAGUUGCUGUAUCAAAUGGCCUCUAUUGGACUUGUUCUACCGAAGCAUUGCUGAAGUUGCUAUAUCUUGUUCCUUAUAUGUAACUUUUCUCUUUGAGGCAGAUUUUCCUGUUGGGAAGAAACUCCAGUUACCCUCAUUCCGUGACUGUUUGAAGGAGCGUGGAACUGUACAAAUGCUGACCAUGGGGCGGGAGGCUGCGAUUGAAGUUCAGGUUUGUCUUCAGAAUCAUAUAUAUAAUUGAGUCAUAUUCAAUCGUCAGAUAGAAAAACAAGCAACAUUUUAGUCAAAUUUCUUUAGUAACUCUCAAGGACUUAAGUUCAAAAACCUCAUAUUUUCCCUAACUAUAAUCUUCCUAAUAGUUAAAGUUUAUUUUAUUGUUCCUUUGAUACACGAUCGACGGAUUGAAGCAUAACGGUGUGUGUUAACAUGAUACAAAUUGUAAUCUUAUGGCUUAUAAGUGAAAGAUUGUUUAUUUUCUUGUUGGUUAAUAGUUCUGAUUAUUAAAUUUGAUAUUUGCAGUCACUUGUCAGUGUACUGGAUUCUUGUGCUGGGAACUCAUCUUCCUACUCAAUGAUUUUAUUUCACGAUCUUCUGGUGUCCACAACACUUUCUCCUGUAUGGUUUGAUCUCCAAAGCCCAAUUGGGUUGACAAUAUCUGUCUUAUUCUAUGUCAAUCAAUAUUAUCCUUGAAGUUUAAGAAAUACCUAUUGAAUUUCUUCUCAUAGAAUAGUGAUAGGGUCCAUUUUGGGGUAUUCUCUUUCAUAAUUGCUAAUCUCCAUUGCAUUCUGUUGGUCAGGAUGACACCAUAAACUUAUUUACAUAUGCUGCUCUAAGGUUAAGCCCAAAUGCUCUAUCCUCGGGAGUAAAUUCCUGGUCCUAUAUACGCAGAGGAAGUACCUCAUCUCAUUUUGUGUCAGGGUCUGCCUUGACCCACUCUGGUCCUGUUUCAGAACAAAUUUAUCAUUCAAGUGAUACCUCACCUGUCGGGAACAACAUUAAUCGUGUUACACGGGCUCUACAGCAUGGUAAGUGGUACAAGGGGAAGGAUGGUUUUCUUGUCACUGAUAUAUGGGGUGUGGUCGUUGGUAGCUUGGUUUGUGCCACCCCAACAGUUUGGCUUCAGCAGACUGAGGAGGCAAUGUAUCUCUGUCCUUAUCAGUUCAAAAGCCUUACUUUAAUCCUUCUCAUUCCCGUUUCCUCCAUCCUUAACGGAGAGCAAGGUGUUGCUUUGGUAAAGCAGCAACUUCUCGAAAACGUGAGUUCCCUACUUUUGUUUUCAGCUGAUGAUCGUUUUUCACAAAUGUUUAUUCUUCUCGUAAGCACUGUCAUUUCUCAAUCAGGCAUCACUUAAGAUAUUAAAAGUUGAAGAGAAACUAUCAAAAGGAUGGGGUGGCGAGAAUGCAUAUCAUGUUAGUGGGUAUCGAUACUUGCUUGUAGAUGGUGACAGAAAUAUAUCAAGGGCAUCUCCGCCAGGAAAAGUUACUACUUUAGCAAAGGUAAAGUGCACUCUAUGGUGUUGCUUUGUGACAAUAGAUUGCCUUGUUAUAUUUAACACAUGAGAUUGGAUCCAUUCUAUCAUCUCUAGCAAAAUUCUUAUGGCAUUUGGCAAUACCAUGUAAAAUGGGAUAUUGUAGCCCUGUUUCUAAUCUGCAGAAGAAUUUCUUUGAGAUGAUAUAAGAUGUUCAAGUUGGUUUAGUAAUUGUAUUGUGGCGUGGCAGGAAUCACUACUUGCCUUAAGCAAACUCAGAGACGAGGUAGAUUUGGAAAAAAGUAGAGCAAAACGGGAUAAUGCUGGUUGCGAGAAAGAUUUGGAAGUAAGCAUAAGAGCAAAAAAUAAUGCUUGGGCUGUUGCUCGAAUUACCGGAGGGAAGGAGCUGUAUAUGGUUCUAGAAAAAGCCAGUGAAACACUUCUUUAUGCCUCUGAUGCUGUUGAGAAGUUUAGCAACAGGUAGUGUAUUUCUCUCACAAUUUCGUAAUGAAUGUUUUGCAGUGUUGUCAUCAUCAUCAUGAUUAUUCAUCACAAUGAUUCGGUUGGGUUAACUUUGUUGCUACUGUUAGUACUCUGUUAAGAGUUUCAUGAUCUUAGAGAAGUGGAAUAUCAACUGUAAGCAAAGGACACUGUUAGUACGAAAAUCAUUUACCAAUAUGGGGCAAAACCCUUCUAGCCAUUCUCUCAUCUCAUUGGACUGAUCUGUCCCAUGUAACUCGACCAAUUGUGAAUUGAAUAUUACUUCCUUGACUUUGUUCUAGUUAGAUUUCAGUUUGGAAUGAAUAGGAUAAAUUCCGCUAUAAGGCCUAUCUAGCAACAGUGCUGAAUAUAUUAACAAUCAAUUACUAGAUUUCUUAAUGUUUAAUUUUUUUUUGCUUUGAUAUGUUUCAAGUUGGAUCGAUGAUCUCUAAUCAACACGAGAUAAAGUUACAUUGUGCUCCGAUGAAUUAUGCAGGUACUGCAACGGAGCAUUUUCCUUGGAUUAAGGAUAGAACUUUCUCAUCUCCAGCAUAAAUGCUCAUAAAAUUAAGAUGAAGGAUGCAUUUAACUAGUCGGAGUAUUCUUCUAUUUUCGGAUUCUUAUGACAAGGAAAUAUUAGAGGAAAACAAUUUGGAUCUGUUGUAUAUAGAGCUAUCUGUUUGUUUCAGUAAGAAUUAUUUUUUAUAAAUUGAGAAAUUGAUUAUUUUUUAUAAAUCUAAAAGGUCGUUUAGUGGCGUGCGUUAAAAAUGACUAAGGUGCCUCUGGUAUUGUUUUGGAAAUGGUAUUUUUGUAUUUGUUUAAUAAUAUAGGAAUGAUUAAUUCUUGGUGAACUUGAAAAUGUGUUUGGUAAUUUACUUUUAAAAUGAUAUUCAAAAAAAUAAAAAAUAAAAAAUGUGUUUGAUUGUUUAUUUAAAAAAUUGGAGACAAAUGAAAGAGAGGAAAAAGUAAUUUUAUUCUAAUGAAAGAGUAUUGAUGGAGCUCAUUAAAUAUUAACUAUUAUUAGAAAAACAUCAAUUUAUUUUCUUUAGAGAGCUUGUAUUUAAGGUAAUAUCACAUUAAUUUGUGAAAAUCACAUAAUUAUUAUAACAAUCAGGAUCAAUUUAAUUUUUUCAUUAAUAUAGCUGGUACGAUUUUAUAUUCUUUUUUUUUUUAAUUUUAGUUCGGUUAUUCUACAAUAAAAUGUUUAGGGAAAAUUACCUAUCUAUCCGCCUUUAUAAAUCCAUCAUCAAAACUCAACAUAUGAUGAAAUUUUUUUACCAUAAAUCCAUAAUAGCCGCAUGUAGCAAUUAUGGACCAAAUUACCCUUAAAACAAACUUAACAAAUCCAAACAACCAAAAUCUAUGGCAUCCAAAACUUCCUCCAACAACUAAAAACUAUGCUCCACAAAACUCCCACCAUCUCACCUCUCAUCUCACAACGGCUGUUACCAACCACUGAAGACAAAAUAAAUCAACAAUUAAAAAAUAAUCAAGAAGAGAUUGGGGUUAUUGUGUUUAAAAUUAGAUUGUGAGAUGGAGUUUUAUGUGUGGGUUUUGUAGAAGAAUGCCUUUGACAAUUUUAUUACAAUAUGGGUAGAUAUUUACUUAAAUGAGUCCAUAAAUUAGGUGAAUGUUACUGUUAUGGUAAGAAAUUGUGUCCUGUGCCUAAUUUUGAAAAUGAAUUUAUAAAAGAAGCUAGAUAGGUUGAUUUCCCUAAAGUAAACCCGAGUCUACUUGUAUUUUGUUUUUUUUAAAAAAAAAAACAGUGUUAUUGUAACUUACGGGCCCUAUAUUUCCAAAACGGGCCAUCGCCAGAUAUAUCAAUAAAAUUGGGCUGGGCUGAUUUACUCAGACAAGAAAUCAGCCCAGCAAUAAAACCUAAAUUAGGGUUAGGGUUUUUUUUAUCUGUCUAUAUAAAAAAAGCAAGCUGGUUUUACUUCUGAUCUGAGCGAGCUGAGUGUUUGUCUCGUCGUCCGCCGCAGUUAGGUACUUUUCUUUAUCUUUACCUGUUUUUCCCCCCCCCCCCCCCCCCCAAAUAUUUCUUUGCAGUUACUGUUGUUGCUAUUGAAAUAAAUAAAUCUUGUGGUGGAAUUGUUUUUGAAAUGUCUCUGAUGAUGUUUAACUAUAUUAACUUUCGUUCUACUGAGAAAACAAUUAUGCGGAAUCCAUAUGGAGACCUGAACUGAGGAGACUGUUUAUGUGCUUUGCUUCUUUUUCAUUUAUCAGUCUUAUUUUUAUCGCUCCGUUUCAUAAAUGAGACUCGUGUUAUUUUGUGCUUUAUUUUUCGUACUUUUUAGGCUAUUUUUUGGGCGAUAUAUUUUGAGUUUUAUAUAAAAUUUUAAUGUUCCCGAACCAGUGUUGUGUUUAAUUUAAGCUGUCUCUGAUGAUGAUUUUAAAAAAAUACUUUCGUUCUUCCGAGAUGAUACAUGCGGAAACAUUUUGGAGACCUGAACUGAAGAGGCUUACAUAUACAUGUGUGUAUUCCCAAUCUGGUCCGGUAUUUUAAAAUGUGGGAAAGUCCGGAAAAGCUUUAAACCAUGGUUUAAAACUUAAAGCUCAUAAACGUUUCUCUGACUUUCUCGUACUUUAAAAUUUCGAAUUAGAAUAUUUCUAAUAUAUAUAUAAGUUUUUAACCGAAGACACUCAAGUGAUGGAACUUGUUCUCUGUUGCAGCAUUGCCGUGGAUCCCGUCAUUUGAAAAGUAGAACAAUUUUUUUUUUUAAUUCUUAGAUUUUUUUUAGCUCAAAAAGUUGUUUUUAAGGUUUAUAGCUAUUAUGGCCUUCAUUUUGUUAUCUCCAACAUGUACAGUGGAUUGGGCAUUGGAGAUCUUAUCUCUUGUGAUGUUCAAAAUGAAAAACUUUCGUUCUCCUGAGCUUGAUAAUGCUGAAAAUCUUUGGAGACCUGAGCUGAAGAGUUUUACUCAAGAUCUUCCAUGUCAUGGCUACCUAAAUUUAAGUUUCCAGCUCUUAUUGACUAUUAUUGUAUUACUUAUUUGUUUUCCAUGGUAGUCAAUUUGAUCAAUGGGAUCGGUACAAAAAAUGUGCAGCCCUGUUUAGAAAUGAUGAUAAUAGAUUAUUACUUUAACAAUUGCUGUUUUUGUUUUGCUUCUGUUGUUUUUGGAUUUUGUCAUACGUUUGGUCUACACUUGAUAUGUGUUUUUAAGUAAAACUUUAAUGAGCAAUCAUUUAGCUGUGGGAGGUAAUGAUUGUCUUAGUGCCCACCUUUUCAGUACUCGAUUAAUGUUGAUGAUUUCAGUUGGCUUGUGGAUCUUUAACAAACUUUCAAAGUGUAUAGAUUUGUUUAAUUUGUGAAUUUUGAUUGUUGCCUUAAUUUUUAAUGUCUCAAAUUAGAACUGUUCAGAUUUUGCUGUUGUACAGAACAGUUUGUCAGUUUUAAGUGAUGUUUUAUUUUUGUGUGUUUCCUUGACAGGUUGUCGUUCAGUCUUGGCUUGAAGAAGCAAAUUGUCAAACAUGAGGUACCAAAUUUUUCUGUUUUCCCUUAUAGUUGUAAUAAUUCAUUGUUUUUUUACUUCUAAUCUUCUGAUGCUAAUUUUCCUCUGUUUCUUGUAAUGUCUCAAUUAGCAGUCGGCCGAUGGAGGAAGAUGUAAGUGUCUUCUGCUAUUUGCGUACAUGCACAUCUCACUCAUAAUUGUCCAUGUCGCCAUUUUGUUCAUUACCAAAUGUUUAUAAAGUUCAUUCAAUUGAUUGCCGCAGAAUGUCAAAAAUGAGGAAGAGGAAUUCAACACAGGUCCACUUUCUGUUUUGAUGAUGAGUGUUAAAAACAAUACCCAGGUAAUUUUCUUGAAUAAUUGAUGAUUCUCAGCUGUCUCCUGAACAGACUGUUCUUGUACUAAAAAGCAACCUGUUUUCACUUGUACUGCAGGUGCUUAUUAACUGUCGGAACAACAAGAAGCUUCUUGGUCGUGUGAGAGCUUUUGAUCGUCACUGCAAUAUGGUUCUUGAGAAUGUCAGGGAGAUGUGGACUGAGGUUGGUUAUCGAUGAUGAUUUAUACUGUCUACAAUUUAAUUUUUACCUUCAGUUAAAUAACAUUGGAUUCCUUUUGUCUAGUUGCCUAAGACUGGGAAAGGCAAGAAAAAGGCUCUUCCAGUUAACAAGGAUAGAUUCAUCAGUAAGAUGUUUCUCCGAGGAGAUUCUGUGAUCAUUGUUCUUAGGAAUCCCAAGUGAAGUACACACCUAGCUUGACAGCCUCAGCAAUUUUAACGAAAGAUCUAUAUGGACAAUACUGUUUGUGAUGGGUAAAAAAUGAGCCAGCAAGCCUAGAUUUGUUUGAAGGAUGUUCGCAUGGUAUUUGUGCAAUUGUGCUGCCAAGUUUGGGAGAUUGGUUGGAGUAUCUUAGGUGUCCUGACAUAAGGGUGACUUUUUUGGUGUGUUGUAAAUUCAAUGGACUAGAGAUGUUAUGGUGUGUAGCUCUUUACUAUUUUCUACUUCUAAUGCUCGUUUACUUUUAUUAAAAUCUUGAUCUGUAAUAUUGAGCCAUAAGCCUUGUGAUUCCCUACUCGACUCCUGCAUAUACAAUAGUUUCAUUUGUUACUUACUCUCAACACCCAGUUUCCACUGUGACUUUAAGAUCUUUUGUCAACUCCUCUUGAAUGGAACUCUGGACAAUAUUUCUGCAAUGCCUUCAAUAACAUUAGUUGUUACGGGACAUUAUUCUCUCUCUCUCUCUUGUCUCCAACAAGAUUCCUAUUUCCUAACACCUUAAUCUUUAUAGGGGUAUUGUUUCAACUAAUAUAAAAGAAAUACUACUCUGACUAAAUGAACAGCGCCUACAUCCAUCGUGUGUUAUCAAACAAAAUGGCAUGGUGGGGUUCAUUUCCUGGGAGAGUAUCAUUUCACUGCUUCUUAAAAUAAUGAAUCUCACUAGCAACAUUUAAAUUACAGAUUUGUCACAAGCGUAGGCCGUCAAGCUUACAAUAAAAAAUCACCCCUCCCACACAGAUUUUCAAUCAAUUGCAGACCAUACUCUUCUUUCGGCUGUUCAAUACAAUUUGCUUUAAGAAAUUUUCUCCAUAUAUUAUUUAUUAGCCUACCAGAACACAAAGAAGCAGUUGACCUUGCUGCUCUCGGCCGGCACACGCCUUUACUUAAUCUUGUGUGGUCUUUGCUUCUAACUUAAACGCGAUAUAGAGCUAUUUUGUGGAGCCCUUUUGGUAUGAUGAGAUAAUAUUAAGGGGUGAUCAUUCUCAUGAUGAUUGAGGCUGAAUAGAUGCACAAAUGCUUGAUUAUUAGACACGUUGGAUAUAAGGAUUUGCUCCAUUUCUUAGAUCUAAUUAUUAGUAAGACACAAAGUUUUUAAGGUUAAGAUGAACGAGAUGAGAAUUAGGGGUGGGCAUAUCGGAUUUCGGUUUGGGUUUCAACCCGAUUGGGUUGGAGAAUUGAACCCAAUCGGGUUGAAAAGGCCAACCCGAACCGAACCGAACCAAAUUUAAUUCGGUUCGGUUCGGGUUCGUAAUUCGGAUCGGAUUAGGUUGGUAAUUCAGGUUAGAACAGGUUGGAAUAAUUUAAUCCACAAAUUCUACCAAAAACCACUUAAAAUUCAAAAAUCUCAAACCCAAACAUCCUUAACAACAUUUCAACAAGUCCUUUUUAAGUUAAUAAAACAUAAAACAUGUAGUUGAAGAGAUUUUUUUUUGUUUAAUAUAUAUAUUUUAAAAGCCAAAACUUUUAAAAAAAAAAUUCAACCCAUUCGGAUUAAAAUUCGAUUCAGGUUCAAAUGGGUUGAUAGUUUGAAUCCGUUUGCGUUAACCCGAUCCGAACGCCCACCCCUAAUGAGAAUGAAUUGGAGAAAGUCCCACUCCUUUUCAUAUCACAAUAACAAACUUACAUGUAAAAGUUCUUCUCAAAUGAUAUAAUUUCUUUUUUUGUUACAUGGAGAUUUAAUAAUAACCAACAAGCUCCUUUUUUUUCCUAUUUACAAUAUUAUAUUAAUUUGUUUUUAAAAAAACAAUAUAUAAAGGGGAAAUUGCAUCUGGGGCGUUUUCAAACCAAAAUUUGAGCAAAAUGCUAUUAUUUUAUCUUAGUUAUUUAUGUAUUUCCAAUCUUGAUGAGGAUGGUCGAAAGAAUUAUGGUAUAGUUGAUUCUCCCACCUUGAAGAAAACGAACAUGUGUCCUCCACCCACAUUAAUUUAACGAUUCAUUUAUUAGAAAAAUUUAUUUUCUGGCCUAAGAAGGUGGAGAUAUAUGAAAAAGUAAUUAAAAUUAGAAUAUCCUUCCAAUAAAUAAAUAAACAAAAGAUGAUGAUGACUCAGACGCAAUAAGCACACGUCCUCCACUGGCCUCUGCACUUUAUAGGUACGACCAUUAUGAAUGAAAAAAGUUUCCAUAUUCUUUCUUGUUUUAGCAUGUCAUAAUUGCUAAGCCUCACAAUCCCACUUAAUAAAGUUAGUGUAAAUGUAUGUAUGGGAAGAAACAUUUUUUUUUCUUUAAAAUUAUAUUUUUAGUACCAUACAAUCAGAUUGCAACCAUAGUUUUUGAAACCCUAGAUUGGCAUAAAACAAGUGUGCGUGUGAGAAUGUAUAUAUAUAGCCGAUUUAGUGCACGCCAUCGUGCAUGUUAUGUAUGGUUGGGUCUCGCAUUCUGGCUCCUUCUCUAAUGGGAGCAUGCCAUGUGCAUUAGAUCAUAUAUGCGCGCGCGCACACACACACACAUAUAAAUAGUUGUUUAUAUAGAAUUCAGCAUGGUUAUUGGUGACUGGUGUGUGUUGGUUCAGCUAUUACAAGAUCUAGCAUUGUACAAAAGAUUUAAAAUUUGAAUUUACUCCUAAAAGAGUAGGAAGCUGGGUCUGAUUUUACAUGUACGUAACAUUUAAACGCAAGAUUAGAAGUACAUUAUUAUGAGCAAGAGUGAUUUAGCUGCUUCCAAGCAAGGAUAAGAUUUUAAGUAAACUCAUUCAUCUAUAAAUACAUGUAGGGCAAAUACCUCUUCUGGCCGCCCAAGACUAGCUAACUAGAAGUUCAAUCCUGGCUGAUAUCUCAUGUGUAAACGAAACCCAAGUAAAAACAACAAACACAGAAUCAUUGAGUUGGCACCAACACAUACUAAAAUAAUAAUAAUUAAAAAGUUUGAAGCCCGUGGUUGAUCAGUUCUUAUCUUUGUCUAAUUGUUCUUUAGCAUGCGUGUGUGUAAGAUAAAAAAAAAAUAUAUAUAUAUAUAUAUAUAUAUAUGCAUGAUAUGUCAGCAAGGCGUGUGGCUAGAGCAUGGUAGAGUCAAGCAGAUAAUACGGGCCAGUUGGUACAUGAAAAAUAUUAAUUAAUUUAGAAAAGUCACAGAGAAUCUCGCCCUUUUUCGGCUUUUUUAAUGGAGUGCGUGUGCCUACCACAAGCAAGAAAAACAAAAUAUAUAAUAAAGAAAAAAUCUUUUGAUGAUCACAGCUUUUCCAGGGCCUCAUCACGUUCUUCAAAUUUAAUCACUGUGUACUCUGUGUGUGUGUGUGUGCACAUUCAGAUUCUGAUGAGGUGAGACGUGGGGCUCUAUAUAAACCAUGGCCGUUCAUCUUAUCUUUAGGCUGGCCUUUAUACUGUACUAUAGUGAUAAAAAGCUGAAAGAAAAAGUCUUUUUUUUUUUUUUUUUUGGGUAUGUAUUAUAUGUUUGAAUAAUGGUUGGCGGCAAAGAUGAAUGGGACCUGCUCCCAAUUUUUGAUCUCAAAGUGGACUAAUUUUUUUUGUUUUAUUGAUUAAUUAUUCCUCUUUCAAUUUGGUUGGUAGGUAUAACUUUUUAUUUUUUUAUGCGAAAUUUUCAGAUCGAGCUCAUUGCUUGUUCAAUUUCUUGUACUGUUUGGCCCGAAAACAAAAUGGGGAAUUUCUUUUUUUUUUUUUUUUGAGAAACAAAAUGAAAAGAAAAGGGAGGAAAAGUUUGGUACUUGAAAAUAAAUUAUUUGGUAGUGGAACAACCUAACAAGCUGAUCAUAAAUUAAAAUUAUGCAUAAUGGAACUAUGGAAGAACAGUAUUCAUGAUGAUUGAAAAAGAAUAUAUAUUCGGCAUGCAAAUGAAAGAGAACCACAUGGCUAAUUUGAGAGAUAUUCUGGAGUACAUAGGAGGUAUUAUAUUUAAUUAAUUUAUGUAUGACUUGUGUAAUUUAAUUAAAUAUAGUUAUUAAUUACAUAGUGAUUUUUCAUAAUAAAUACACCCAUAGCAUAUAUGUAUAAGGUCAUUUUUGGAAUUGAAGUGUUGUAGUUAAAAGCUACAACAAUUGUUAAAAAAACUACAACUAUAAAAUUAAUAGAAUGC
rnacentral:lncRNA from 1 species